rnacentral:lncRNA from 1 species
CGCAUCGAACCCUUGAACAUGUCGAUCUUUGCGUUCCUCAGUUCAACAGUUGUUCCAGGCCUAAUUACAUCCACUGCACAAAAAGUAAAAACACCAUCUUCAGCCAUAAUUUCUACAAUUACUUUUCAAUAAAAUAUGCAACACAACAACAGAAGCACAAGGAACCAAACACAAGCUUAAGAAAACUGAGUGCUUCAGUAAAGAGUGAAUCGUGUACAUGACACUUGUCCCCUGAUGCAAAGCCACACAUUAUACUCGGUUGUCGGGAAAGUGACACGAUCAGUUCUUUGGAUUUAUGCAACCACAGCUAUAUCAAGUAGGUAUGUCGACACUGAAGAUGACCACCAAAGGUAUAAACUAAAUAGUUGUUAAAGAAAAGCGGAAUACAUGCCUAGAACUGAACAAAUGCAACUAUUGAAUGGUAAUGGUAAAGAACAUGACAUAUAUCUUAGCAUUUCAUAUGAUUCCUUCCUAUAAUAGGAACCAAUAAUGUUUGAUCAGAUUAGAAGCAAGGUUGGGUUGAUAUGGUUACUGCUAUCAGCAUAGGAAAACAGAACAGAACAUGCAACAGAUGAUGAAUUCAACUUACGCUAGAUCUGUACCAGCAAAUAAAGAUUAUGAACAUUAUAAGUUAACUAAGGAGAAUUAUGGACUUUAUAACUUAACUAAGGAGAAUAUAACCGAAGGCAUGGAAAAUUAAGGUUAUACACAACGCAACCACAUCAGACAGAAUAGGUGACGCUGAGAUGAAUGAACCACAAGACUAGAAAAUUUAGUACUAGUCGCACAUACAAAACAGUAAUAUGUUGUUAAAUUGACUGGAUUAGUACUAGGCGUAUACACAAAGAGUGAUAUGCUGUUAGAUUGAGUGUAAGAUAUUGUGAGGGGAUGGGGAAAGAGUUGGGAGAACCUUGAUCGUUUCUUGCAGUGAAGACAAUGAUGCCGGUUUCAUCACCAACCAAGCACUCCGCAAUCCUCAUCUGUCUUCCCUGGGGCCCUCCCUCGCGGCCUCUCUGGACGACCAUCUUGGAGUCAACAACCUUGAGGAUGAGGUUGUGGCCGUGGGUUCCAGGGCGCAGCUGGUCGACCUUGGUGAAGCUUGGUUGUCUGCGAGCGCCGGAAUCUGCCGCCAUUGUUUCGGUUGCAAUUUCUUCCUCUCUAACCCUAAACCAUAACAUGAAUAUGAAUAAGACAAUAAUAUCAUUAAUUAAGCGUCAGAUGUGUAUGGAUCGGACGGAUAUACUGAGUUUGACCGGGUUUAGCACCUGUAGCUCGUAAUCUGGGGUUUGCAAUUGUAUAUAAACUUGUAGAUCACAUCAGAUCCGAUUACAAAUAACCAAGUUUAGGGUUUGGGCGCUUGUUUCCGCAUAGCAGUAAGUAAGGGAAGAGAUUGGGUGAGCGUACCGGAUGCUCGUCGUUGGCGAAGACCUGGGCGUCUCGCGUAGAGCGGCGGCGGUGGCGGAGUCGUCGCCAGUCGAUAGAGAAAGAGAGCGCUCGCGGGGAGAACAAAAAGGCUGCUGUGUGUAUGGACGCUGGGUCGCGAGUUUGGAAAGGUCUGAGCUGAGCAGUAGUAAAAGGCUGCUGCUGUUGGGCCUUUUUUUCAUAUGAAAUUUUUCCAUUUAUAUUUUUUAAUUUGAAAAUUCAAUUAUCUGUUUCUAAAAAAAAUACUAGUCGGUUGUCCAUCCGUUGCGACGGCUCACAACAAUACUCACGUAAACUAUCCAAAAAAAAUUUCAAGAAUUUUUAUUGAUUGUCUCGGCUCUCCGUAUAAUAUUUUUUUGAUUUGACUAACUGAUGUGUUGUUUACUUCAUCUAAUAUGUCUUGGUACAAUACGACCAAUGAAAUGAGCGAUUAGAAGAGAAUUCACAACGAGUGACUGAACGAAUAGAGAUUAUAAAAUGACAUAAUUCCACAAAAUAAGAGAAAGUUUGUGAGCUCAAGUUUCUAAAAUAAGUCACAUGAACUCAAGCUUAUAAAAAGUAGAUCAAAAUAUGGAGUGGUUGCUAAAGUCAGUCAUCAAUAAAAACCGGAUGCGCUUCAUACAAAUUAUGGUACUUUAUAGCAAUUACUAACGUUUGAAACCAACAAAUAACCUUUCCUUUUACUGUUAGCAUGACAAAUCAUUUCUGCUCCAUCCAAUUCAACAACCUCAAACACCAUGGAGUCCAUUACGCCAAUAUGGUCUCAGAAAUGACCUAAUGCAUGCAAGAGCCAACAACACAAGGGACGAGCACCCUACGGUAGUGCCCGCAUGGAUCUCCAAAUCCUAACACAUAUUAUGCAUGAUCUAUGAGCCAUCAUCAGAAGAACACAAACCACGUGCAGAUAAUAAAUAAAGUAUUAAUACACCCAAAUUAUGUUCAAUCCUUAGCAAAAAAAACUAACUCCCAAAACAACAGAAGAACAACAUAAUAAUUUUUGCAAUGACAGAAGGAUGGGUGACAGGUAUGAAAGGGAAAUGGACUUAAUCAUUUCAUAUAAUCGAUUUUGGUGUUUGACGUCCAUCACAAACCACGUGGACUAACUAGUUUGUCUAGUUGAUCAUUUCUUAGGUGUGUAAGUUCAUCUACAAUUGUUCUAAGUCGAUUGUACGGAAUUCCUAUAAUUGAUUUCUCAGCUUUUUGGAAAAACAUCUAUGCGUGGACCGUCCGGACCCUUAUGGCGGACCGUCCGCAACACCAGGAUGAGCCUCGAACAGGAACACUGCAAAAACAUAUAUUAACACUACGGACCGUCCGAAUGAGAAGCGAGCACUAUCCGAGACCAAGCGCGGACUCCGGCCUCAGGCGCGGACCGUCUGGUCGUUGAAAAACCAGAAAAACUCGAAGGUGAUGGGUUCGGUAAAAUGCAUUUUUAGCGUCCUCGCGAACCAUCUGGGGUGCACAGCCGGACCGUCCGUGAUUGCUUUAUCUGACAUCUGACGACGCAUUAAAUGCACUAUAGCCGUUAUUGCUGACCGUUGCGAUUUCAGUCGUUGAUGUGCAGGGGUGGACUGUCCGGACCAGGGGCGCGGACCGUCCGCGGUCGGCAGAAAAAGGAGCAACGGCUAGGAAGUGGUUGGAGGCUAUAAAUACAAUCCCAACCACCUCCAUUCACUUGAUCCAAGCACUCCACUCAUUCACAUUCAAUACAAGAGCUAGCAAUCCAUUCCAAGUCACACUCAAAGCUUCCAAUCUCUCCAAGUCCCACAAUUUAGACAAGUGAUCAUUAGUGCUUAGUGACUUGAGAGAGUGUGAUCCAUGUGUUAUUUGUCGCUCUUGUUGCUUGGCUUUCGCAAUCAUGCUUUCUUCAUCUCUUUCUCAACCUUCUAAGUGAAUUGUAAAGCAAGCAAGAGACACCUAAUUGUGAGGUGGUCCUAACAAGGUCUUAGUGACCCGUGUGAUUAAGAAAAAACACUCAACCGAUCUAAGUGACCGAUUGAGAGAGGGAAAGGGUUGGAAUAGACCCGACCUUUGUGGCCUCCUCAAAGGGGACUAGGUUCUUUGGAACUGAACCUCGGUAAACAAAUCAUCGUAUUCAUUUGUGUUGAUCUCUAUUCGAUUUGUUUAUCCCCUCUCCUCUCUCUAAAAGCUUCCUUGCACAUAUUGAUUUGAGUUGGCUCCCAAAGCUAUAUGCAUUGAUUGAGCAACUCUUGGUAAGGAGAACUAUGUUCCGCACUCCAAAUUAUUUCUAACACUAACCCCGAGCAUAGUGCGUGUUUAAAGUUUGUAAAUUUCAAGUUUUGCCUAUUCACCCCCCCUCUAGGCGACUUUCAAUUGGUAUCAGAACCCGAUUCUUCAUUAGAGUCUAACAACUCGAAGUGAUGUUGGGAGAACACGCCAAGAGGGAGAUGAUUACCGGCGAAAAGCCCGAAGGCUCGGGAAGGAAGAACGAUGAACGAACUCUGUCAAAGGAGGCCGACGACAAGCACAAGGAGGAAUCUGCUUCCUCCAUCAAGUCACAUAGGAAGGGUGACAAGAAGAAAAUGAAAAUGAAGAAGGUGGUCUACUACGAGACCGACUCUUCAUCACCUUCCACAUCCAGCACCGAGUCUACCACUUCGAAGCGCCAAGAGCGCAAGAAGUAUAGUAAGAUGCCUCUACGCUAUCCUUGCAUUGCAAAACACGCUUUUUUACUUUCCGUACCCCUAGGCAAACCACCAUAUUUUGAUGGUGAAGAUUAUUGCAUGUAGAGUGAUAAAAUGAGGCACCAUCUAACCUCACUCAAUGAAAGCAUAUGUGAUAUUGCCGAGUUUGUAGCGCAGGCACCACAGGUGGGAGACGAGGAUUAUGACUCCGAUGAGGCCGCCCAAAUAAGGCAUUUUAAUUCCCAAGCAACUUCUAUACUCCUCACCUCAUUGUGUCGAGAGGAGUAUAAUAAGGUGCAAGGGUUGAAAUGCCAAAGAAAUUUGGGAUAUCCUCAAAACGGCGCAUUAAGGGGAUGAGGUGACCAAGAUCACCAAGCGUGAAACGAUCGAGGGAGAACUCGGUCGAUUCGUCCUCAACAAAGGAGAGGAGCCACAAGCAAUGUAUAACUAGCUCAAGACAAUGGUCAACCAAGUGCGCAACCUCGGGAGCACCAAGUGGGAUGACCAUAAAAUGGUAAAGGUUAUUAUAAGAUCUCUCGUUUUUUGUAAUCCUACCCAAGUUCAAUUAAUUCGUGGAGAUCCUAGAUACAAACAGAUGUCCCCCGAGGAAGUAAUUGGCAAGUUUGUGAGCUUUGAGCUUAUGAUCAAAGAUUCCAAACACAUUGUCAACUUGGAGCAAGGUGCCACCUCCACACCUGAGGUACAACCCGUUGCAUUCAAAGCAACGGAAGAGAAGAAGGAGGAGUCUACACCAAAUAGACUCUCAAUCGACGCCUCCAAGCUCGACAAUAAGGAGAUGACUCUUAUCAUCAAGAGCUUAAUUUAUUUAUGGUUCGACAUAGAGAAUAAUUUAUCUCUUCAUAGACAUUCGUGGUGUUGAUUUUUCUUUUAAUUGUAAGGAUGUAUGCAUGAAAGUGCAAAAGGCUAGAACUUGUUUCCAUUAUCAAAAAAUAUACCAUAAGAACACAUUUAAGACUACAAAAAAUGAUGAUCAGAAUGAGGAAAAGACAUACAUGCGAGAGGGAGCUUAGGAGAGAGAAGGGAGGUGAUGGAGCAAACAUUCUCAACAUGCCAUAUUAGCUUAUGUCGAGAUCCAUUUGAACUGCCUAUAAGACUAGAACAAAGAUUGAAGACCUGAAAACAUGAUACUUGAUGAUCUUGUAUAACAUAGUCAAACAAAACUAAUGAAUUUAGGGUUCUAGAUGACAUAGUCGUACAAAUUUUGGAAUCUAAAUUUAGGGAUCUAAAAUUUUAUUAUAGUCUAAUUUGAGUCGUUCUCAUCUCUUUUAUCCUAAUUAUUUUACACAAAAGCAAAUAGAUAUACAUAUGACAUGGUCCCCCGCCCCUACUCAGAUCAUGUUUGACUUAUGCAGGUCGCACUGUGCGAGCACAAGGUUGAUUUGUCCCUUGUGAUUCGGGUUGAUGAUGAGUGAUUAUCAACAUGGGUAGUGCUUUGGUGUGAGUCUUAAACUUGCAAUCAUGUUUAUCGGCAUGUGGUGUGUAGGUGUGCAGUUGAGGGACGGUGCUCGACGGCAAAGUGAAGAUCAUGCAGGUUUGUGUCGAUGGACCAAGAGUGAAGACGAACACUGGGCCUUGAUCGAGGGACUAGAGAAGCCGGAGAGACCAGCCGUGGUGUUUGAAACUCGAGACAUGCACUAGCGCAAGAACGUGGCUGAGCGGAUCGUGUCACCGGCAAGGUCGAGGACUAACGGGACAAGUGUCCAAGACGUGGGGGACGAGUAUGUAGUACGCUACUCAUGGAGGUUUUGAUGGUUGAGCUUCAAAACCACCCAGUGCUAUGAAUGGUUGGUUCCACCGAGUUUGGGCCUUAAAACUCAGCGGUGCGGUUCCAACGGGAAUUGGAGGCAGCACGUAGCGUCAUCACGAAGGGCACGUCAAGACAAAGCAACUUCAUGAAGAGCAUGUGGUUGUCAGAUGAAAAAAUCUAGAAUUUGGUCUAUUUUGUCCCCGACUAAGUGGAUAAGCUCUAUGUAUCUAGGGGUAGUUUAGGCUCUACAAAUAACCCUCUAUAAAUAGGUGGGAGGGCUGUUGCGUGCAACCAUCUCUUUUGGCUAUCUCAUUAGGCACUUGUUUAGAAAACCUUCGUUUUCCAUUCCCUAGUUUAGUUCUUAGCCCAGAGGUCCGCAGGUGAUUUGUAACUCCACAUCUGUGUAUCUAUGAUUUCGUAACCACACACGGUCCAAGAUUAUCCAAAUCAUGUGCUCAAUUUGUUCUUGCUGCAAUUUUUUAUUUGAUUUGUCUCUGCUUUUGACUCAUCUCUUCUACUUUGAUUCUAGCAUGAAUCUUUGUUUUCUUGAGUUGUGGUUUAUGUUGGGGAUUGACUUAGGUGAAUAUUAUUCUCUAAACCACCGUAAACACCAGGAUUUGUGUAGUUUGUGGUCAUGAUCCAAGCUCACUCUGAUUUGGGUUUGUUUGAGAAAAGCCCAACAAAACCCCAAUCAAAUGGACAUUUUGAAUAUGUUCAUGUAGUUUUGAUUUGUUCUUGAUCAAACUUCAUGAAAGCUCUUCUUUUCCUCUGUGCUUACUGUAUGUGAAAUUUGAGGGGAUUUUUUGUAGGUUUUGAGGUAUGGCACUGGUCGAAGAGGAAUUCUCCGGCCGGGUGGAGGAAUGCACCCGCCCUAAAUCCUAAGAUGAGGAGGGGCCUAAGCGUUUUGCCUGUUAGGUGGAAACGAGAAGAACACAAGAACACACAAGGAUUUAGAGUGGUUUGGGCCGCCGGAGCGUAAUACCCUACUCCACUGUGUGAUGUAUUGAGCUUGAGAGCUUGAGAGUCUAAGUGAGCUUGAGCAUAAGUUCGGUCUGCCUUGUAAUGUCGUGUGCCCUCCCUUUUAUAGCUCAAGGGGGCACGUACAAGGGUGCGGGGCCCCGACAUGCGGGCCCAGGGGCAAAACGAAGGGAAUACAUAUAGAAGUAUCCAACGCCAGCGUCGCCUAGAAGAUCUCCGAGCGCCAUAUUGUCCGUAGUCCAUAUAGUAUUAAUAUCUCGCGGCUGCUUCCUCGGUAACGCGCGAGCCAUGAUGAGCACUGUGUAUGCCGCAGCACGGGCGUACUGCCUGCCAUCGGAAUGGACAGGCACGCCGCCUGCAGGAUGACCUGGUCGCCGCCCGUCAGCGGAGUGGACAGGGCACAUUAAAUGCUGAGGCGGCACAUCGCCCGCCAGUGGAGUGGACAGGGCUCAUUUAAUGCUGAGGCGGCACAUCGCCCGCCAGUGGAAUGGACAGGCGACGUGCCUUAUCCGCAUUAAAUGCAGAGGCCGCAUGGCCAAGAGGCCUUACGUCAGGCUCCACCCGCUGGCUUACGUCACGGGCAGCUGGCCACGUGGCAGCAACAGGUCUCCGCCUGAGUGGGGAGCAGAGGCGUAUGCGGUAUGGUCUGGACACGUGUCGGCUCCGGACCCCCACCUGGCCUUGACUAAGGUCCGGGUACUCUUUGUCCCAGAGCCCCGGGACCCUGUUGUGAGUGACCCGGACCCCACACAGAGGGGUCCGGGACCCAUACCAGGGGUCCGGUUCAUGCCCGUGGAGGUCCUGGACCUUACCCGAAGGUCCGGUCCGUAUAUACAGGGGUCCGGUACUUCCCAUGGGGGUUCGGACCUACUGUUGAUACCUUGGAGGAUAUCGCCUUCUCUGGCCACGUGGCGGCCCUGGAGGUGGCCAGGUGGUGGGGUCGGGUGCUGCUCACCACGCGACUAAAGAUAGCCGCGUGGGCACCGCGUCUUCAUGCUGUAGUAAGGGGUACCCCUGUUUUAGGGUAGUGACAGUGGCCCCUGGGCCCACCUCAGGGGAGGAUACGAGCCUGCAGGUGGGGCCAAAGUUUGAUUGGCGAUUGGCGCGCUGCUUCCGUGCGCUUUGCUGACGUAAUCACUGCCAACCCGCCUUCGGUCACGCCAACUAUCACGUCUAUCCCCGAGGCUGACUUGACCCAUGGCCUCCGCACUUGAUGGUUUUGUCGGGCCACGCGCGGGGUGCCUCGGUACCGCUGCAUUGGUUUUGAAAAUUCACCUUCUAUGUCUUCUGUUGUGGCCCCGAGGAGGCGCGGUACUGUUGCGAGCGGCGGUUCGACUUCUCUACACCCAGGAACUGGUGCCCAAGGAGGAUGACUCGUGGGCCCGGGCCCCCGUGUCAAAGGCUGGUCCGCUGCUUUCGGCGGAGAUGAAGAGGCGUGACGGUUCGCUCCUCGCGUAGCGGUUUUGCCUUCUUCGCACUCGGAGACCGACGCCCAAGGAGUAUGACUUGUGGGCCCGGGCCCCCGUGCCAGAGGCUGGUCCGCUGCUUUCGGCGGAGAUGAAGAGGCGCGGUGGUUCGCUCCUCGCAUGGUGGUUCGCCUUCUUCGUACUCGAAGACCGACACCCAAGGAGUACUACUCGUGGGCCCGAGCCCCCGUGCCAGAGGCUGGUCCGCUGCUUUCAGCGGAGAUGAAGAGGCGCGGCGGUUCUCUCCUCGCGUGGCGGUUCGCCUUCUUCGCACACGGAGACUGACGCCCAAGGAGUAUGACUCGUGGGCCCAGACCCCCGUGUCAAAGGCUGGGUCGCCCUGGUGCGCGUCGGACGAGAUUUUCUGCGGUGUCUUGGGGCAUGAACGGGAGAGUCCUCCUUAAAAAGGGAUUCCCCCGAGUGCGACAGUCAUUCUUUUCACUCGCUGCGCCCUUUCGCCCUCGAGCUCUCCGCGCUCUUCUGGCGCCGUAGCCGACAUGGCCUUGCUAGACCCUCCCGAGUGCUUCUAGUACGAGGUGGCACUCAACUUGGUGUGCAACCUACUCGGAUGGGGUGUGUCGGCGUUCGCUGGAAGGAUCUGUGUUGGUGCAUCUCCCCUCGGCGAUCUCGCUGCCGGGAAGUUCGUGCUCUUCGUCUCCAACCUCCCCUGCGGGUUGGUGCUGCCGAUCUCGUCUUUCUUCGUGCUGCUGCUGGAGGAUCUCGGCCUCCAACCUUAGCACUUCACGCCCUGCUUCAUCCUCUAGGCAGCCAUCUUCGCCUACCUCUGCGUGAUGUCUGUGGGGGUGACGCUUCUUCCGCCAGCAUUCGGACGAAAGGGGGUUGUGCAGCGACCUUCCGGGGGUGGAAAGCGAGCUGAGCUGCGGCUCCAUCUUUCGCAUGAGCUUCACCAGCAUCCUGUGGUACACCUCCAUGAACUGGUCUAGCUCCAACUCCAUGAGGUGGAAGGCGAGCUGAGCUGCGGUUCCAUCUUUCGUGCCUCCAUCUCUUUGGCUUUAAUGGCUUCGACACCGCCUCUAAUGAUGAGGGCUCCUUCGCCUUGGCGCACGUAUUGAGGAGGUCGCCGCCGCUGGCAAGCUGCAGCACCGGGUUGCCGCCAGCGCCGCUGUUCCCAGUGGUCACCACCGUGUUUAGGGUGAGUGAUCGGCCUGCGUUCGGCGGUCGAUACUAAAGAGGUCACCCGGGAGGACGUUCAAGAUGUCGUGGAGACGGCGGCCGCGCGCUUCCAGCGCGACCCUACUGAUGUCGAGUAGCUCAUACCUGUAGAAAUGAGGCUAGGGCUCUGCUUGAAGGUGAAUGUAAUAACUUUUGUUUUUGUAAGAUACUUUUGGGAACUAUCAAUUAAACAUCUCUUAUCUGUAUGGUGUUUGUUCUUGCUGUGUGUGGUUUUAUCAACUCCUCUCCUGGUACUUGGCCCCCCUGGGAUGUAGGCUCGUCGUGUCAAGGCUAGAUACCAGCAUACCUAAGAAAGAGUUGGUGUACCGGCCCCUAGGAGGUAGCCUCGACUGGGACCUGGACCUGCACACAGCUUCGGCUAGGAAGUGUUAGUAGCACACCCAUUAGGACCCAUCGUCUGGUAUCAGCCAUCCUUGAUUCAUGCAACAGGACCUGCAGGAUUUGGCCUGGGAAGCCAAGUCGUGUGCUCGGACCCCCUGAAUCACAGUUCCAGAUACUAGGACACCCAUCGCAGAGUGGUAGAGCGUGUAGGCUUACGGUACGGGACCAGGCUAAGCGGCUACACAGCUCCGGACCACCCCAGGGGACGUGCAUCCAUUCUCUAGAACCGGACCCCAGGUUCCUGGACCCACAGGGCUAUAGUUCCAAAUAAUAGGAUACCCAUCACAGUGUGGUGGAGCGUGCAGGCUUAGGGUGCGGAACCAAGCUAAGCGGCUACACAGCUUCAGACCACCCCAGGAGACGAGUACCCAUUCUCUAGAACUGGCCCCCAGGCUACCGGACCCCCCUGCUUUUGUAGAGGGGUCCUAAACUGCAAACCUGGCUAUUCAAUUCGGAUGUCAUCAUACGAGCAAGGGUGGGAGACCAUAUGGGUGGGUUAGAUAAAAGAUAAUAAUAUUUGGAAUCUGUAGCAGAAUAAAACUAUCACAGAACCAUAUCUGAGGGGGUAAAUCUUUUCUUUUAUAACUCAAAAUGCAUGAGUGCAGACCAAUAGGCUGGGCUUAUGAGGGCAGACCUCACCGGGCUGGUGAAAGUCGCCUAGAGGGGGGGUGAAUAGGCAAAUCUGAAAUUUAUUAAGUUUAAGCACAACUACAAGCUGGGGUUAGCGUUAGAAAUAUAAUUGAGUCUGAAAGAGAGGGAAAACAAAUCAACAAAUAAAUAAAGCGGAUGAACACAGUGAUUUGUUUUACCGAGGUUCGGUUCUUGCAAACCUACUCCCCGUUGAGGUGGUCACAAAGACCGGGUCUCUUUCAACCCUUUCCCUCUCUCAAACGGUCACUUAGACCGAGUGAGCCUUUCUCUCCAAUCAAAUGGGACACUAAGUCCACUACAAGGACCACCACAACUUGGUGUCUCUUGUUUUGAUUACAAGUGAAUUGAGCACAAGAAUGAAGAAAGAAGAAAAGCAAUCCAAGCGCAAGAGCUCAAAUGAACACAAAAGUCUCUCUCUCUAGUCACUAAAUUGUUUGGAGUGAUUCCGGACUUGGGAGAGUAUUUGAUCUCUUUUGUUUGUGUUUUGUAUUGAAUGCUAUAGCUCUUGUAUGAGGUGUGAAGGCUGAAAACUUGGAUACAUUGAAGUGUGGUGGUUAGGGGUAUUUAUAGCCCCAACCACCAAAAGAACCGUUGGUGGAGGCUGCUGUCAUAUGGCGCACCGGACAGUUCGGUGCGCCACCGGACACUGUCCGGUGCGCCAGCCACGUCACCUGACCGCUAGGGUUCGACCGUUGGAGCUUCUGACAGCUGGGCCACCGGACAGUACGGUGGUGCACCGGACAGUCACUGUUCACUGUCCGGUGCGCCUUCUGGCUCCGCUCUGACUUCUGCGAGCACUGUAGCGCAUUAACUGCUCGUUGCAGACGACCGUUGGCACUGUGUAGCCGUUACUCCGCUGGCGCACCGGACAGUCCGGUGAAUUAUAGCGGAGUGGCUCCCAGACUUCCCGAAGGUGGCAAGUUCAGAGUUGGGUUCCCUGGUGCACCAGACACUGUCCGGUGGCGCACCGGAUAGUCCGGUGCGCCAGACCAGGGCACACUUCGGUUGUCUUUUGCUCUCUUUGUUUGAACCCUUUCUUGGUCUUUUAUUGGUUUGUUGUGAACCUUUGGCACCUGUAAAACUUAUAAUCUAGAGCAAACUAGUUAGUCCAAUUAUUUGUGUUGGGCAAUUCAACCACCAAAAUCAAUUAGGAAAAGGUGUAAGCCUAUUUCCCUUUCAAUCUCCCCUUUUUUGGUGAUUGAUGCCAACACAAACCAAAGCAAAUAUAUAAGUGCAUAAUUGAACUAGUUUGCAUGAUGUAAGUGCAAAGGUUGCUUGGAAUGAAACCAAUAGUUAUUUCUACUAGAUAUGCAUGGAUGACUUUCUUCUUAUUAAACAUUUUGGACCACGCUUGCACCACUUGUUUUGUUUUUGCAAAUGUUUUGGAAAUUCUUUUACAAGGUCUUUUGCAAAUAGUCAAAGGUAAAUGAAUAAGAUUUUGAGAAGCAUUUUCAAGAUAUGAAAUUUUCUCCCCCUGUUUCAAAUGCUUUUCCUUUGACUAAACAAAACUCCCCCUUAAUGAAAUCCUCCUCUUAGUGUUCAAGAGGGUUUUAGAUAUUAAUUUUGAAAAGGGGUAUACCAAUUUGAAAUUAUAUAAAAAAUAAGAUGUCAAUUGAAAAAUCUUUUCUUAACCCAAAUUUGAAGGACUACUUUUUUUGAAAUUGGUGGUGGUGCGGUCCUUUUGCUUUGGGCUAAUACUUUCUCCACCUUUGGCAUGAAUCGCCAAAAACGGAUACUUAUGAGUGAAAUAUAAGCCCUUCUGACAAACUUUCUCCCCCUUGGUAAAUAAUAUAGGAGUGAAGAUUAUACCAAAUUGGAGAGCGAUGUGGAGCGAUGGCGAAGGAUGAAUAAUUCGAUGGAGUGGAAUGGAAGCCUUGUCUUCACCGAAGACUCCAAUUCCCUUUCAAUCGAUGACUUAGCAAGAAAUGCACUUGAAACCACAUUAGUCAUAGCACAUGAAAGAAACAUUGAUCAAAGGUAUAUAAAUGAGCCAUGUGUGCAAAAUAUCAAUCAAAAUUCCUAGAAUCAAGAAUAUUUAGCUCAUGCCUAAGUUUGGUAAAUGUUUGCUCAUCUAGUGGCUUGGUAAAGAUAUUGGCUAAUUGUUCUUUGGUGUUAAUAUAUGCAAUCUCGAUAUCCCCCUUUUGUUGGCGAUCCCUUAAAAAAUGAUACCGAAUGGCUAUGUGUUUAGUGCGGCUAUGCUCAACGGGAUUAUCCGCCAUGCGGAUUGCACUUUCAUUAUCACAUAGAAGAGGAACUUUGGUUAAUUUGUAACCAUAGUCCCUGAGGGUUUGCCUCAUCCAAAGCAAUUGCGCGCAACAAUGGCCUGCGGCAAUAUACUCGGCUUCGGCAGUAGAGAGAGCGACAGAAUUUUGCUUCUUUGAAGCCCAAGACACCAGAGAUCUUCCCAAAAACUGGCAAGUCCUUGAUGUGCUCUUUCUAUUAAUUUUACACCCUGCCCAAUCAGCAUCGGAAUAACCAAUUAAACAAAAUGUGGAUCCCCUAGGGUACCAAAGGCCAAACUUAGGAGUAUAAACUAAAUAUCUCAAGAUUCGUUUUACGGCCCUGAGGUGAACUUCCUUAGGAUCGGCUUGGAAUCUUGCACACAUGCAUAUGGAAAGCAUAAUAUCCGGUCGAGAUGCACAUAAAUAGAGUAAAGAUCCUAUCAUCGACCGGUAUACCUUUUAAUCUACGGAUUUACCUCCCGUGUCGAGGCCGAGAUGCCCAUUUGUUCCCAUGGGUGUCUUGAUGGGCCUGGCAUCCUUCAUCUCAAACUUGGUGAGUAUGUCUUGAAUGUACUUUGUUUGGCUAAUGAAGGUGCCCUCUUGGAGUUGCUUCACUUGAAAUCCUAAGAAGUACUUCAACACCCCCAUCAUAGACAUCUCGAAUUUUUGUGUCAUUGAAAGUCGCCUAGAGGGGGGGUGAAUAGGGCGAAACUGAAAUUCACAAAAUUAAUCACAACUACAAGCCGGGUUAGAGUUAGAAAUAGAAACGAGUCCGAGAGAGAGGGCGUAAAACAAAUCGCAAGCGAAUAAAGAGUGUGACACGUGGAUUUGUUUUACCGAGGUUCGGUUCUUGCAAACCUACUCCCCGUUGAGGUGGUCACAAAGACCGGGUCUCUUUCAACCCUUUCCCUCUCUCAAACGGUCCCUCGGACCGAGUGAGCUUUUCUUCUCAAUCACUUGGAACACAAAGUUCCCACAAGGAUCACCACACGAUUGGUGUCUCUUGCCUCAAUUACAAGUGAGUUUGAUCUCAAGAAAGAAUGAGAAAGAAAGCAAUCCAAGCUCAAGAGCUCAAAAGAACACAACAAAUCACUCUCGCUUAACACUAAUGCUUUUGUGGAAUUGGGAGAGGAUUUGAUCACUUGGGUGUGUCUUGUAUUGAAUGCCUAGCUCUUGUAAGUGGUUGGAAGUUGGAAAACUUGGAUGACUUGAAUGUGGGGUGGUUCGGGGUAUUUAUAACCCCAACCACCAAACUAGCCGUUUGGUGAAGGCUGUCUGUCGCAUGGUGCACCGGACAGUCCGGUGCACACCGAACAGUGUCCGGUGCGCCAGCCACGUCACCAGGCCGUUGGGUUCCGACCGUUGGAGCUCUGACUGCUGGGCCCGCCUGGAUGUCCGGUGGCACACCGGACAUGUACUGUAGAGUGUCCGGUGCGCCACUUCGCGCGUGCCUGACUCCUGCGCGCUCUGGCGCGCAUUUAAUGCUGUAGCAGGUGACCGUUGGCGCCGAAUAGUUGUUGCUUCGCUGGCUCACCGGACAGUCCGGUGUGCACUGGACAUGUCCGGUGAAUUAUAGCGAAGCGAAUUCCCGAAGCUGGCGAGUUCCAGAGUCGCUCUCCUCUGGGGCACCGGACACUGUCUGGUGUACACCGGACAGUCCGGUGAAUUAUAGCGGAGCGCCUCUGGAUUUUCCGAAGGUGAAGAGUUUGGUUAGAAGUCCCUUGGUGCACCGGACACUGUCCGGUGGUGCACCAGACACUGUCCGGUGGCACACCGGACAGUCCGGUGCGCCAGACCAGGGCUGCCUUCGGUUAACCCUUGCUCUCUUUGUUGAACCCAAUUCUUGGUCUUUUUAUUGGCUAAGUGUGAGCUUUUUCGGCACCUGUAUAUCUUAUACACUAGAGCAAACUGGUUAGUCCAAUUAUUUGUGUUGGGCAAUUCAACCACCAAAAUCAUUUAGGAAAUAGGUGUAAGCCUAAUUCCCUUUCAAUCUCCCCCUUUUUGGUGAUUGAUGCCAACACAAACCAAAGCAAAUGUAGAAGUGCAUAAUUGAACUAGUUUGCAUAAUGUAAGUGCAAAGGUUGCUUGGAGUUGAGCCAAUAUGAAUACUUAUAAGAUAUGCAUGGAUUGUUUCUUCUAUUUUUAACAUUUUGGACCACACUUGCACCACAUGUUUUGUUUUUGCAAAUUCUUUUGUAAAUCAUUUUCAAAGUCCUUUUGCAAAUAGUCAAAGGUAAAUGAAUAAAAUUUUGCGAAGCAUUUUCAAGAUUUGAAAUUUUCUCCCUCUGUUUCAAAUGCUUUUCCUUUGACUUAAACAAAACUCCCCCUAAAUGAAAUCUCCUAUUAGUGUUCAAGAGGGUUUUGAUAUAUUAAUUUUGAAAUACUACUUUCUCCCCCUUUUGAACACAAUAGGAUACCAAUUUGAAAUUUCCAAUUGAAAAUCAUUUUUAAAACUAGGGUGGUGGUGCGGUCCUUUUGCUUUGGGCUAAUACUCUCUCCCCCUUUGGCAUGAAUCGCCAAAAACGGAGUCAUUAGAGCCCUUUUAACUACUUUAUCCAAUUUGGCAAAUAAAACAUAUGAGUGAAGAUUAUACCAAAGACGGAGUCCUUUUGCUUUGUACUUAGGCUCUCUCCCCCAAAGAUGGAGAGUUGCCCGGAGCGACGGCGAAGGAUGUGUUACGGAGUGGAAGCCUUUGUCUUCGCCGAAGACUCCAAUUCCCUUUCAAUACACCUAUGACUUGGUUUGAAAUAGACUUGAAAACACAUUAGUCAUAGAGCAUGAAAGAGACAUGAUCAAAGGUAUAUGAAUGAGCUAUGUGUGCAAAUUAACAAAAGAAGUUCCUAGAAUCAAGAAUAUUUAGCUCAUGCCUAAGUUUGUUAAAAGUUUGUUCAUCUAGUGGCUUGGUAAAGAUAUCGGCUAAUUGAUCUUUAGUGUUAAUAUAUGAAAUCUCGAUAUCUCCCUUUUGUUGGUGAUCCCUUAAAAAGUGAUACCGAAUGGCUAUGUGUUUAGUGCGGCUAUGCUCAACGGAAUUAUCCGCCAUGCGGAUUGCACUCUCAUUAUCACAUAGAAGAGGAACUUUGGUUAGUUUGUAACCGUAGUCCCUAAGGGUUUGCCUCAUCCAAAGUAGUUGCACGCAACAAUGGCCUGCGGCAAUGUACUCGGCUUCGACGGUAGAAAGAGCUACGGAAUUUAGCUUCUUUGAAGCCCAAGACACCAAGGAUCUUCCCAAGAACUGGCAAGUCCCUGAUGUGCUCUUUCUAUUAAUCUUACACCCGGCCCAAUCGGCAUCCGAAUAACCAAUCAAAUCAAAUGUGGAUCCCCUAGGAUACCAAAGCCCAAACUUAGGAGUAUAAACUAAAUAUCUCAAGAUUCGUUUUACGGCCGUAAGGUGAGCUUCCUUAGGGUCGGCUUGGAAUCUUGCACACAUGCAUACGGAAAGCAUAAUAUCCGGUCGAGAUGCACAUAAAUAGAGUAAAGAACCUAUCAUCGACCGGUAUACCUUUUGAUCCACAGACUUACCUUCCGUGUCGAGGUCGAGAUGCCCAUUGGUUCCCAUGGGUGUCUUGAUGGGUUUGGCAUCCUUCAUCCCAAACUUGCUUAGAAUGUCUUGAGUAUACUUCAUUUGACUUAGGAAGGUGCCCUCUUGGAGUUGCUUCACUUGAAAUCCUAAGAAGUACUUCAACUCCCCCAUCAUUGACAUCUCGAAUUUUUGUGUCAUGAUCCUACUAAAUUCUUCACAUGUAGACUCGUUAGUAGACCCAAAUAUAAUAUCAUCAACAUAAAUUUGGCAUACAAACAAGUCAUUUUCAAGAGUUUUAGUGAAGAGUGUACGAUCGGCUUUUCCGACUUUGAAUCCAUUAGUGAUAAGGAAAUCUCUAAGGCAUUCAUACCAUUCUCUUGGGGCUUGCUUGAGCCCAUAAAGCGCCUUAGAGAGUUUAUAAACAUGGUUAGGGUACUCACUAUCUUCAAAGCCGGGAGGUUGCUCAACAUAGACCUCUUCUUUGAUUGGUCCAUUGAGGAAGGCACUCUUCACGUCCAUUUGAUAAAGCUUGAAGCCAUGGUAAGUAGAAUAGGCUAAUAAUAUACGAAUUGACUCAAGCCUAGCUACAAUGCAUAGGUUUCACCGAAAUCCAAACCUUCGACUUGGGAGUAUCCUUUGGCCACAAGUCGAGCUUUGUUCCUUGUCACCACACCAUGCUCAUCUUGCUUGUUGCGGAACACCCAUUUGGUUCCUAUAACAUUUUGGUUAGGACGUGGAACUAAAUGCCAUACCUCAUUCCUAGUGAAGUUGUUGAGCUCCUCUUGCAUUGCCACCACCCAAUCCGAAUCUUGAAGUGCUUCCUCUACCCUGUGUGGCUCAAUAGAGGAAACAAACGAGUAAUAUUCACAAAAAUGAGCAACAGGAGAUCUAGUAGUUACCCCCUUAUGAAUAUCGCCGAGGAUGGUGUCGACGGGGUGAUCUCGUUGGAUUGCUUGGUGGACUCUUGGGUGUGGCGGCCUUGGUUCUUCAUCCUCCUUGUCUUGAUCAUUUGCAUCUCCCCCUUGAUCAUUGUCGUCAUCUUGAGGUGGCUCAAUUGCUUGAUCUUCUCCUUCAUCAACUUGAGCCUCAUCCUCAUUUUGAGUUGGUGGAGAUGCUUGUGUGGAGGAGGAUGGUUGAUCUUGUGCAUUUGGAGGCUCUUCGUAUUCCUUAGGACACACAUCCCCAAUAGACAUGUUCCUUAGCGCGAUGCACAGAGCCUCUUCAUCACCUAUCUCAUCAAGAUCAACUUGCUCUACUUGAGAGCCGUUAGUCUCAUCAAACACAACGUCACAAGAAACUUCAACUUGUCCAGAGGACUUGUUAAAGACUCUAUAUGCCCUUGUGUUUGAAUCAUAUCCUAGUAAAAAGCCUUCUACAGUCUUAGGAGCAAAUUUAGAUUUUCUACCUCUUUUAACAAGAAUAAAGCAUUUGCUACCAAAGACUCUAAAAUAUGAAAUAUUGGGCUUUUUACCGGUAAGGAGUUCGUAUGAUGUCUUCUUGAGGAUUCGGUGUAGAUAUAACCGGUUGAUGGCGUAGCAGGCGGUGUUGACCGCCUCGGCCCAAAACCGAUCCGAUGUCUUGUACUCAUCAAGCAUGGUUCUUGCCAUGUCCAAUAGAGUUCUAUUCUUCCUUUCCACUACACCAUUUUGUUGUGGUGUGUAGGGAGAGGAGAACUCAUGCUUGAUGCCCUCCUCCUCAAGGAAACCUUCAAUUUGUGAGUUCUUGAACUCCGUCCCGUUGUCGCUUCUAAUUUUCUUGAUCCUUAAGCCGAACUCAUUUUGAGCCCGUCUCAAGAAUCCCUUUAAGGUCUCUUGGGUGUGAGAUUUUUCCUGCAAAAAGAAUACCCAAGUGAAGCGAGAAUAAUCAUCCACAAUAACUAAACAGUACUUACUCCCGCCGAUGCUUAUGUAAGCUAUCGGGCCGAAUAGGUCCAUGUGUAGGAGCUCCAGUGGCCUGUCAGUCGUCAUGAUGUUCUUAUGUGGAUGAUGAGCACCGACUUGCUUCCCUGCUUGGCAUGCGCUACACACCCUGUCUUUCUCAAAAUGAACAUUGGUUAAUCCUAGAAUGUGCUCUCCCUUUAGAAGCUUAUGAAGAUUCUUCAUCCCAACAUGUGCUAGUCGGCGAUGCCAGAGCCAGCCCAUGUUAGUCUUAGCAAUUAAGCAAGUGUCGAGUUCAGCUCUAUCAAAAUUCAGUAAGUAUGGCUGACCCUCUAACACUCCCUUAAAUGCUAUUGAAUCAUCACUUCUUCUAAAGACAGUGACACCUACAUCAGUAAAUAGACAGUUGUAACCCAUUUUGCAUAAUUGAGAAACGGAAAGCAAAUUGUAAUCUAAUGAAUCUACAAGAAAAACAUUGGAAAUAGAAUGGUCAGGAGAUAUAGCAAUUUUACCCAAUCCUUUGACCAAACCUUGAUUUCCAUCCCCGAAUGUGAUAGCUCAUUGGGGAUCUUGGUUUUUCUCGUAGGAGGAGAACAUCUUCUUCUCCCCUAUCAUGUGGUUUGUGCACCCGCUGUCGAUUACCCAGCUUGAGCCUCCGGAUGCAUAAACCUACAAAACAAGUUCAGUUCUUCACUUUAGGUACCCAAAUGGUUUUGGGUCCUUUAGCAUUAGAUACAAGAACUUUUGGUACCCAAACACAAGUCUUUGAUCCCUUGUGUUUGUCCCCAACAUACUUGGCAACUACCUUGCCGGAUUUGUUAGUUAAAACAUAAGAUGCAUCAAAAGUUUUAAAAGAAAUGUCAUGAUCAUUUGAUGCACUAGGAGUUUUCUUCUUAGGCAACUUAGCACGGGUUGGUUGCCUAGAACUAGAUGUCUCACUCUUAUACAUGAAUGCAUGAUUAGAGCCAGAGUGAGACUUCCUAGAGUGAAUUCUCCUAAUUUUGCUCUCAGGAUAGCCGGCAGGGUACAAAAUGUAACCCUCGUUAUCCUGAGGCAUGGGAGUCUUGCCCUUAACAAAAUUAGACAAUUUCUUAGGAGGGGCAUUAAGUUUGACAUUGCCUCCCUGUUGGAAGCCAAUGCCAUCCUUAAUGCCAGGGCGUCUCCCACUAUAAAGCAUACUACGAGCAAAUUUAAAUUUUUCAUUUUCAAUUUCAUGCUCGGCAAUUUUUGCAUCUAGUUUAGCUAUAUGAUCAUUUUGUUGUUUAAUUAAAUCCAUGUGAUCAUGUAUAGCAUUAAUAUCUACAUCUCUACAUCUAGUGCAAAUAGAAGUGUGUUCAACGGUAGAUGUAGAGGGUUUGCAAGAUUUUAAUUCUACAACCUUAGCAUGCAAUAUAUCAUUUUUACUUCUAAGGUCGAAAAUGGAAGCAUUGCAUACAUCUAAAUCUUUAGCCUUAGCAAGCAAUUUUUCAUUUUCAUUCCUAAGACUAGCAAGAGAUAUGUUCAAUUCUUCAAUCUUAGCAAGCAAAUCAUCAUUAUCAGUUCUAAGAUUGGGAAUUGAAACAUUACAAGCAAUAGAAUCAACCUUAGCUAACAAAUUAGCAUUCUCAUUUCUAAGGUUGUCUAUAGUCUCAUGGCAAGUGCUUAGCUCACUAGAUAAUUUUUCACAUUUUUCAACUUCUAGAGCAUAAGCAUUUUUAACUUUAACAUGCUUUUUAUUUUCCUUGAUUAGGAAGUCCUCUUGGGAGUCCAAGAGAUCAUCCUUCUCAUGGAUGGCACUAAUUAAUUCAUUUAAUUUCUCUUUUUGUUGCAUGUUUAAGUUGGCAAAAAGAGUACGCAAAUUAUCUUCCUCAUCACUAGCAUUAUCAUCGCUAGAAGACUCAUAUCUAGUGGAGGAUUUGGAUUUAACCUUCUUCUUUUUGCCGUCCUUUGCCAUGAGGCAUUUUUGGCCGACGUUGGGGAAGAGGAGUCCCUUGGUGAUGGCGAUGUUGGCGGCGUCCUCGUCGUCGGAGGAGUCGCUAGAGCUUUCGUCGGAGUCCCACUCGCGACAAACAUGGGCAUCACCGCCCUUCUUCUUGUAGUACCUCUUCUUCUCCUUUCUUCUUCCCUUCUUGUCGUCGCCCCUGUCACUGUCACUAGAAAUAGGAUAUUUUGCUAUAAAGUGACCGGGCUUACCACACUUGUAGCAAACCUUCUUGGAGUGGGGCUUCUAAUCUUUCUCCCUCCUUUGCUUGAGGAUUUGGCGGAAGCUUUUGAUGACAAGUGCCAUUUCCUCGUUGUCGAGCUUGGAGGUGUCGAUGGGUGUUCUACUUGGUGUAGACUCCUCCUUCUUCUCCUCCGUUGCCUUGAAUGCGACCGGUUGUGCUUCGGACGUGGAGGGACCGUCAAGCUCGUUGAUCUUCCGUGAGCCCUUGAUCAUAAAUUCAAAGCUCACAAAAUUCCCGAUUACUUCCUCGGGAGUCAUUAGUGUAUAUCUAGGAUUACCACGAAUUAAUUGUACUUGAGUAGGGUUAAGGAAAAUAAGUGAUCUUAGAAUAACCUUAACCACCUCGUGGUCAUCCCAUUUCUUGCUCCCGAGGUUGCGCACUUGAUUUACCAAGGUUUUGAGCCGGUUGUACAUGUCUUGUGGCUCUUCCCCUUGGCGAAGACGGAAGCGACCGAGAUCCCCCUCGAUCGUUUCCCGCUUGGUGAUCUUGGUUAGUUCAUCACCCUCGUGCGUGGUAUUGAGCACGUCCCAAACUUCCUGGCGCUCUUUAAUCCUUGCACCUUGUUGUACUCCUCCCUACUUAGAGAGGCGAGGAGUAUGGUUGUGGCUUGGGAGUUGAAGUGCUCGAUUUGGGCCACCUUGUCCUCAUCGUAAUCCUCAUCCCCUAUGGAUGGUACCUGUGCCCCAAACUCAACAACAUUCCAUAUACUUUUGUGGAGUGAGGUUAGAUGAAAUUUCAUUAAAUCACUCCACCUAGCAUAAUCUUCACCGUCAAAGGUUGGCGGUUUGCCUAAUGGAACGGAAAGUAAUGGAGUAUGUCUAGAAGUACGAGGAUAGUGUAAGGGGAUCUUACUAAACUUCUUACGCUCAUGGCGCUUAGAAGUUACGGAGGGUGCGUCGGAGCCGGAGGUAGAUGGCGAUGAGGUGUCGGUUUCGUAGUAGACCACCUUCCUCAUUUUCUUUUUCUUGUCCCCACUCUGAUGCGACUUGUGGGAAGAGUGUUUCUUCUCCUUCCCCUUCCCUUUGUUGCGGGACUCUCCUGAUGAAGCUUUCCCGUGGCUUGUAGCGGGCUUGUCGCCGGUCUCCAUCUCCUUCUUGGCGUGUUCUCCCGACAUCACUUCGAGCGGUUAGGCUCUAAUGAAGCACCGGGCUUUGAUACCAAUUGAAAGUCGCCUAGAGGGGGGGUGAAUAGGGCAAAACUGAAAUUCACAAAAUUAAUCACAACUACAAGCCGGGUUAGCAUUAGAAAUAGAAAUGAGUCUGAGAGAGAGGGCGUAAAACAAAUCGCAAGCGAAUAAAGAGUGUGACACGCGGAUUUGUUUUACCGGGGUUCGGUUCUUGCAAACCUACUCCCCGUUGAGGUGGUCACAAAGACCGGGUCUCUUUCAACCCUUUCCCUCUCUCAAACGGUCCCUCGGACCGAGUGAGCUUUUCUUCUCAAUCACUUGGAACACAAAGUUCCCACAAGGAUCACCACGCGAUUGGUGUCUCUUACCUCAAUUACAAGUGAGUUUGAUCUCAAGAAAGAAUGAUAAAGAAAGCAAUCCAAGCGCAAGAGCUCAAAAGAACACAACAAAUCACUCUCGCUUAACACUAAUGCUUUUGUGGAAUUGGGAGAGGAUUUGAUCACUUGGGUGUGUCUUGUAUUGAAUGCCUAGCUCUUGUAAGUGGUUGGAAGUUGGAAAACUUGGAUGACUUGAAUGUGGGGUGGUUCGGGGUAUUUAUAACCCCAACCACCAAACUAGCCGUUUGGUGAAGGAUGUCUGUCGCAUGGUGCACCGGACAGUCCGGUGCACACCGGACAGUGUCCGGUGUGCCAGCCACGUCACCAGGCCGUUGGGUUCCGACCGUUGGAGCUCUGACUGCUGGGCCCGCCUGGAUGUCCGGUGGCACACCGGACAUGUACUGUAGAGUGUUCGGUGCGCCACUUCGCGCGUGCCUGACUCCUGCGCGCUCUGGCGCGCAUUUAAUGCUGUAGCAGGUGACCGUUGGCGCCGAAUAGCCGUUGCUCCGCUGGCUCACCGGACAGUCCGGUGUGCACCGGACAUGUCCGGUGAAUUAUAGCGGAGCGAAUUCCCGAAGCUGGCGAGUUCCAGAGUCGCUCUCCUCUGGGGCACCGGACACUGUCCGGUGUACACCGGACAGACCGGUGAAUUAUAGCGGAGCGCCUCUAGAUUUUCCGAAGGUGAAGAGUUUGGUUAGAAGUCCCCUAGUGCACCGGACACUGUCCGGUGGUGCACCGGACAGUCCGGUGCGCCAGACCAGGGCUGCCUUCGGUUAACCCUUGCUCUCUUUGUUGAACCCAAUUCUUGGUCUUUUUAUUGGCUAAGUGUGAGCCUUUGGCACCUGUAUAUCUUAUACACUAGAGCAAACUGGUUAGUCCAAUUAUUUGUGUUGGGCAAUUCAACCACCAAAAUCAUUUAGGAAAUAGGUGUAAGCCUAAUUCCCUUUCAGUCAUGAUCCUACUAAAAUCUUCACAUGUAGAUUCGUUAGUAGACCCAAAUAUGAUAUCAUCAACAUAAAUUUGGCAUACAAACAAAUCAUUUGCAAGUGUUUUAGUAAAGAGAGUAAGAUCGGUCUUUCCGACUUUGAAGCCAUUAGCGAUAAGAAAAUCUUAGGCAUUCAUACCAUGCUCUUGGGGCUUGCUUGAGCCCAUAAAGCACCUUAGAGAGUUUAUAAACAUGGUCAGGGUACUCACUAUCUUCAAAGCCGGGAGGUUGCUCAACAUAGACCUCUUCCUCGAUUGGUCCAUUGAGGAAGGCACUUUUCACGUCCAUUUGGUAAAGCUUAAAGCCAUGGUAAGUAGCAUAGGCAAGUAAAAUGCGAAUUGACUCAAGCAUAGCUACAGGUGCAUAGGUUUCACCGAAAUCCAAACCUUCGACUUGUGAAUAACCUUUAGCCACAAGUCGGGCUUUGUUCCUUGUCACCACACCAUGCUCAUCUUGCUUGUUGCGAAAGACCCACUUGGUUCCUACAACAUUUUGGUUAGGACGUGGAACUAAAUGCCAUACCUCAUUCCUCGUGAAGUUGUUGAGUUCCUCUUGCAUCGCCAGCACCCAAUCCGAAUCUUGAAGUGCUUCCUCUACCCUUUGAGGCUCAAUAGUGGAAACAAAAGAAUAAUGUUCACAAAAAUGAGCAACACAAGAUCGAGUGGUUACCCCCUUAUGAAUGUCGCCGAGGAUGGUGUUCACGGGGUGAUCUCGUUGGAUUGCUUGGUGGACUCUUGGGUGUGGUGGUCUUGGACCCUCAUCAUCUUCCUUGUCUUGAUCAUUAGCAUCUCCUCCUUGAUCAUUGCCCUCCUCUUGAGGUGGCUCAUCUUCUUGAUCUUCAUCUUCAUUAUCUUGAGCUUGAUCCUCAUCUUGGGUUGGUGGAGAUGCUUGCAUGGAGGAAGAUGGUUGAUCUUGUGUAUGUGGAGGCUCUUCGGAUUCCUUAGGACACACAUCCCCAAUGGACAUGUUCCUUAGCGCGACGCAUGGAGCCUCUUCAUUAUCUAGUUCAUCAAGAUCAUCUUGCUCUACUUGAGAGCCGUUAGUCUCAUCAAACACAAUGUCACAAGAAACUUCAACUAGUCCAGUGGACUUGUUAAAGACUCUAUAUGCCCUUGUGUUUGAAUCAUAUCCUAGUAAAAAGUCUUCUACAGCCUUAGGAGCAAAUUUAGAUUUUCUACCUCUUUUAACAAGAAUAAAGCAUUUGCUACCAAAGACUCUAAAAUAUGAAACAUUGGGCUUUUUACCGGUUAGGAGUUCAUACGAUGUCUUCUUGAGGAUUCGAUGGAGGUAUAACCGGUUGAUGGCGUAGCAAGCGGUGUUGAUCGCCUCGGCCCAAAACCGAUCCGAAGUCUUGUAAUCAUCAAUCAUGGUCCUUGCCAUGUCCAAUAGAGUUAUAUUCUUCCUCUCCACUACACCAUUUUGUUGUGGCGUGUAGGGAGAAGAGAACUCAUGCUUGAUGCCCUCCUCCUCAAGGAAACCUUCAAUUUGGGAGUUCUUGAACUCCGUCCCGUUGUCGCUUCUUAUUUUCUUGAUCCUUAAGCCGAACUCAUUUUGAGCUCGUCUCAAGAAUCCCUUUAAAGUCUCUUGGGUUUGAGAUUUUUCCUGCAAAAAGAACACCCAAGUGAAGCGAGAAUAAUCAUCCACAAUAACUAGACAGUACUUACUCCCGCCGAUGCUUAUGUAAGCUAUCGGGCCGAACAGAUCCAUGUGGAGUAGCUCAAGCGGCCUGUCGGUCGUCAUGAUGUUCUUGUGUGGAUGAUGAACACCAACUUGCUUUCCUGCUUGACAUGCGCUACAAACCCUGUCUUUCUCAAAAUGAACAUUGGUUAGUCCCAAAAUGUGCUCUCCCUUUAGAAGCUUAUGAAGAUUCUUCAUCCCAACAUGGGCUAGUCAGCGGUGCCAGAGCCAACCCAUGUUAGUCUUAGCAAUUAAGCAAGUGUCGAGUUCAGCUCUAUUAAAAUCAACUAAGUAUAGCUGACCCUCUAACACUCCCUUAAAUGCUACUGAAUCAUCACUUCUUCUAAAGACAGUAACACCUAUAUCCGUAAAAAGACAGUUGUAGCCCAUUUUGCAUAAUUGAGAAACAGAAAGCAAAUUGUAAUCUAAUGAAUCUACAAGAAAAACAUUGGAAAUAGAAUGGUCAGGUGAUAUAGCAAUUUUACCCAAUCCUUUGACCAAACCUUGAUUUCCAUCCCCGAAUGUGAUAGCUCGUUGGGGAUCUUGGUUUUUCUCAUAGGAGGAGAACAUCUUUUUCUCCCCAGUCAUGUGGUUUGUGCACCCACUGUCAAUGAUCCAACUUGAGCCCCCCGGAUGCAUAAUCCUACAAAACAAAUUUAGGCCUUGUUCUUAUGUACCCAAACGGUCUUGGGUCCUUUCACAUUAAAAACAAGCACCUUGGGUACCCAAACACAAGUCUUUGACCCCUUGUGUUUGCCCCCAAUAUAUUUGGUAACUACUUUGCCUGAUUUGUUAGUUAAAACAUAUGAUGCAUCAAAAGUCUUAAAUGAAACAUUAGGUUCAUUUGAUGCAAUAGGAGUUUUCUUCUUAGGCAUUUUAACAUUUGUAGAACGCCUAGAGCUAGAAGCCUCAUUCUUGUAAAUAAAAGCAUGAUGAGAAUGAGUCUUCUUUGCAUGAAUUCUCCUAAUCUUAUCCUCAGGAUAACCAGCAGGAUAUAAAAUAUAGCCCUCGUUAUCCUGAGGCAUGGGAGCCUUGCCCUUAACAAAAUUAGACAAUCUUUUAGGAGAGGCAUUAAGCUUGACAUUGUCUCCCUGUUGGAAGCCAAUGCCAUCCUUAAUGCCAGGGUGUAUCCCACUAUAAAGCAUGCUACGAGCAAAUUUAAAUUUCUCAUUUUCUAGUUCAUGCUCGGCAAUUUUAGCAUCUAAUUUAGCUAUAUGAUCAUUUUGUUGUUUAAUCAUAGCAAGGUGAUCAUAAAUAGCAUCAACAUUAAUGUCUCUACAUCUAGUGCAAAUAGUAACAUGCUCAACGGUAGAUGUAGAGGGUUUGCAAGUUUUUAGUUCAACAAUCUUAUCAUGUAAAAUAGUGUUCUCAUCUCUAAGAUUGGAAAUAGAAGCAUUGCAAACAUCUACGUUUUUAGCCUUAGCAAUUAAUUUUUCAUUAUCAUUUCUAAGGCUAGCAUGAGAGGCAUUUAAUUUUUCAAUCUUAGCAAUUAAACUAGCAUUAUCAUUUCUAAGAUUGGCGUGGAAUCAUCACAAAUAUUUGACUUCUCAAUCUUAGCAAUCAAAUUAGCAUUCUCAAUUCUAAGGUUGGAAAUAGUGUCAUGGCAAGUGCCUAGCUCACUAGUUAAUUUUUCGCAUUUUUCUACCUCUAGAGCAUAAACAUUUCUAACCUUAACAUGCUUUUUAUUUUCUUUAAUUAGGAAGUCCUCUUGGCUAUCCAAGAGUUCAUCCUUCUCAUGAAUAGCACUAAUUAAUUCAUUCAAUUUUUCCUUUUGUUGCAUGUUAAGAUUGGCAAAAAGAGUAAACAAAUCAUCCUCAUCAUCACUAGAAUUAUCAUCAUCACUAGAUGUUGCAUACUUAGUGGAGGAUCUAGAUUUUACCUUCUUCUUCUUGCCGUCCUUUGCCAUGAGACACUUGUGCCCGACGUUGGGGAAGAGAAGCCCUUUGGUGACAGUGAUGUUUGUGGCAUCCUCGUCGGAGGAGGAGUCGGUGGAGCUCUCGUCGGAGUCCCACUCCCGGCAAACAUGGGCAUCACCGCCCUUCUUCUUGUAGUACCUCUUCUUUUCUCUUCUCCUUCCCUUCUUGUCGUCGCCCCUGUCACUAUCACUUGAUAAUGGACAUUUUGCAAUAAAAUGAUCGGGCUUACCACACUUGUAGCAAACUUUCUUGGAGCAGGGCUUGUAGUCCUUCCUGAAAGUCGCCUAGAGGGGGGGGGUGAAUAGGGCGAAACUGAAAUUCACAAAUAUAAACACAACUACAAGCCGGGUUAGCGUUAGUAAUAUAGAAACGAGUCCGCGAGAGAGGGUGAAAAACAAAUCCCAAGCAAAUAAGCAAGUGAGACACGGAGAUUUGUUUUACCGAGGUUCGGUUCUCUCAAACCUACUCCCCGUUGAGGAGGCCACAAAGGCCGGGUCUCUUUCAACCCUUCCCUCUCUCAAACGAUCCACGGAUCGAGUGAGCUUUCUCUUCUCAAUCACUUGGAACACAAAGUUCCCACAAGGACCACCACAAGUUUGGUGUCUCUUGCCUCAAUUACAAGUGAGUUUGAUUGCAAUGAAAGAAUCAAGAAAGCACGAUUGAAAAAGCCAAGCGACAAGAGCGACAAAUAACACACGGAUCACUUUUUCUCUCAAGUCACUAAUCACUAAUGAUCUCUUUUCUCAAUUGUGAAACUUGGAGAGAUGGAGGCUUUGAAUGUGUCUUGGAAUGGAUUGCUAGCUCUUGUAUUGAAUGUUGAAGGUUGGAAUGCUUGGAUGAAGUGAAUGGAGGUGGUUGGGGUUGUAUUUAUAGCCACCAACCACUUCCUAGCCGUUGGGCCAUUCUGCCGAGCGCGGACGGUCCGCCCUCCUGGUGCGGACAGUCCGCCCCUGUAGAUCAACGGCUGAAAAUGCAACGGUCAGCAGUAACGGCUAUAUCAACGGCUAUAUUGCAUUUAAUGCGUCGUCAGAUGUCAGACAGAGCCAGUCGCGGACGGUCCGGUCGUGCACCCCGGACGGUCCGCGAGGCCCCCUAUAAUUCAUUUCUCCGAACCCGUUACCUUCGGGUUUUUCGGUUUCUUACCGACCGGACGGUCCGCGCCUAAGGCCGGACGGUCCGCGCGAGGGCUCGGACGGUCUUUGCUUUUCCUUCGGACAGUCCGUAAUGGAAACUUGUAUUUUUGCAUUGGUUCUGUCCGAGAGUCAUUCUAGUGUUGCGGACGGUCCGCCGCAAGGGCCCGGACGGUCCGCGCUUGGCCUGUUUUUCCAAAAAGCUUCUCCUGUCCGGAAUAAUCUACGGUAUUCCGGACAGUCGAUUUAGCAUAGUUAUAGAUGAACUUUUGGCACCUGUAAAACAUAUAAUCUAGAGCAAACUAGUUAGUCCAAUUGUUUGUGUUGGGCGAUUCAACCACCAAAACUAUUUAGGAACUAGGUGUAAGCCUAAUUCCCUUUCAAUCUCCCCCUUUUUGGUGAUUGAUGCCAACACAAACCAAAGCAAAUAUGGAAGUGCAUAAUUGAACUAGUUUGCAUAAUAUAAGUGCAAAGGUUGCUUGGAAUUUAGCCAAUAUAAAUACUUGCAAGAUAUGCAUGGAUUGUUUCUUUCUUAUAUAACAUUUUGGACCACGCUUGCACCACAUGUUUUGUUUUUGCAAACACUUUUGUAAAUCCUUUUCAAAGUUCUUUUGCAAAUAGUCAAAGGCAAAUGAAUAAGAUUUUGAGAAGCAUUUUCAAGAUUUGAAAUUUUCUCCCCCUGUUUCAAAUGCUUUUCCUUUAACUAAACAAAACUCCCCCUAAAUGAGAUCCUCUUCUUAGUGUUCAAGAGGGUUUUUGAUAUGUCAUUUUGAAAUACUACUUUCUCCCCCUUUUGAACACAAUAGGAUAUCAAUUGAAAAAUAUUCAACACUUAAGUUUUUGAAAUUGGUGGUGGUGCGGUCCUUUUGCUUUGGGCUCUUACUUUCUCCCCCUUUGGCAUGAAUCGCCAAAAACGGAAGCAUUAGAGCCCUCGAAGUGUUUCCUUCCCCUUGGGUCAAAAAUAAAUGAGUUAAGAUUAUACCAAAGACGAAGUCCUUUUGCUUGGUGCUCAUGAUUUCUUCCCCUAGAAUGGAGAGUUGCUUGGAGCGACGGCGAAGGAUGAGUUACGUAGUGGAAGCCUUUGUCUUUGCCGAAGACUCCAAUUCCCUUUCAAUACACCUAUGACUUGGUUUGAAAUGGACUUGAAAACACAUUAGUCAUAGCAUAUGAAAGAGAUACGAUCAAAGGUAUACAAAUGAGCUAUGAGUGCAAGUUAACAAAAGAAAUUCCUAGAAUCAAGAAUAUUUAGCUCAUGCCUAAGUUUGUUAAAAGAUUGUUCAUCAAGAGGCUUGGUAAAGAUAUCGGCUAAUUGAUCUUUAGUAUUAAUGUAUGAAAUCUCGAUAUCUCCCUUUUGUUGGUGAUCCCUAAGAAAAUGAUACCGAAUGGCUAUGUGCUUAGUGCGGCUAUGCUCGACGGGAUUGUCGGCCAUUUUGAUUGCACUCUCAUUAUCACAUAGUAAAGGGACUUUGGUUAAUUUGUAACCGUAGUCCCGCAGGGUUUGCCUCAUCCAAAGCAAUUGCGCGCAACAAUGACCUGCGGCAAUGUACUCGGCUUCGGCGGUGGAAAGAGCAACCGAAUUUUGCUUCUUUGAAGCCCAAGACACCAAGGAUCUUCCCAAGAACUGGCAAGUCCCUGAUGUGCUCUUCCUAUUGAUUUUACACCCCGCCCAAUCGGCAUCCGAAUAUCCAAUCAAAUCAAAUGUGGAUCCCCUAGGAUACCAAAGCCCAAACUUAGGAGUAUAAGCCAAAUAUCUCAAGAUUCGUUUUACGGCCGUAAGGUGAGCUUCCUUAGGGUCGGCUUGGAAUCUUGCACACAUGCAUACGGAAAGCAUAAUAUCCGAUCGAGAUGCACAAAGAUAAAGUAAUGAACCUAUCAUCGACCGAUAUACCUUUUGAUCCACGGACUUACCUCCCGUGUCGAGGUCGAGAUGCCCAUUAGUUCCCAUGGGUGUCUUGAUGGGCUUGGCAUCCUUCAUCCCAAACUUGGUUAGAAUGUCUUGAGUGUACUUCGUUUGGCUGAUGAAGGUGCCCUCUUGGAGUUGUUUCACUUGAAAUCCUAGAAAAUACUUCAACUCCCCCAUCAUAGACAUCUCGAAUUUUUGUGUCAUAAUCCUACUAAACUCUUCACAUGUAGACUCGUUAGUAGACCCAAAUAUAAUAUCAUCAACAUAAAUUUGGCAUACAAACAAGUCAUUUUCAAGAGUUUUGGUAAAGAGUGUAGGAUCGGCCUUUCCGACUUUGAAUCCAUUUGCAAUAAGAAAAUCUCUAAGGCAUUCAUACCAUGCUCUUGGGGCUUGCUUGAGCCCAUAAAGCGCCUUAGAGAGCUUAUAGACAUGGUUAGGAUACUCACUGUCUUCAAAGCCGGGAGGUUGCUCAACAUAGACUUCUUCCUUGAUUGGUCCAUUGAGGAAGGCACUUUUCACGUCCAUUUGAUAAAGCUUAAAGCCAUGGUAAGUAGCAUAGGCCAAUAAUAUGCGAAUUGACUCAAGCCUAGCUACGGGUGCAUAGGUUUCACCGAAAUCCAAACCUUCGACUUGGGAGUAUCCCUUGGCCACAAGUCGAGCUUUGUUCCUUGUCACCACACCAUGCUCAUCUUGCUUGUUGCGGAAGACCCAUUUGGUUCCUACAACAUUUUGGUUAGGACGUGGAACUAAAUGCCAUACCUCAUUCCUAGUGAAGUUGUUGAGCUCCUCUUGCAUUGCCACCACCCAAUCCGAAUCUUGGAGAGCUUCCUCUACCUUGUGAGGCUCAAUAGAGGAAACAAAAGAGUAAUGCUCACAAAAAUGUGCAACACGAGAUCUAGUAGUUACCCCCUUAUGAAUGUCGCCGAGGAUGGUGUCGACGGGGUGAUCUCGUUGGAUUGCUUGGUGGACUCUUGGGUGUGGCGGCCUUUGCUCUUCAUCCUCCUUGUCUUCCUCAUUUGCAUCUCCCCCUUGAUCAAUGCCAUCAUCUUGAGGUGGCUCAUUUGAUUGAUCUUCUUCUUCAUCAACUUGAGCUUCAUCCUCAUUUUGAGUUGGUGGAGAUGCUUGCAUGGAGGAGGAUGGUUGAUCUUGUGUAGUUGGAGGCUCUUCGGAUUCCUUAGGACACACAUCCCCAAUGGACAUGUUCCUUAGCGCGAUGCAUGGAGCCUCUUCUUCACCUAUUUCAUCAAGAUCAACUUGCUCUACUUGAGAGCCGUUAGUCUCAUCAAACACAACGUCACAUGAGACUUCAACUAGUCCAGUGGACUUGUUAAAGACCCUAUAUGCCCUUGUGUUUGAGUCAUAACCAAGUAAAAAGCCUUCUACAGUCUUAGGAGCAAAUUUAGAUUUUCUACCUCUUUUAACAAGAAUAAAGCAUUUGCUACCAAAGACUCUAAAAUAUGAAAUAUUGGGUUUUUUACCGGUUAGGAGUUCAUAUGAUGUCUUCUUGAGGAUUCGGUGUAGAUACAACCGGUUGAUGGCGUAGCACGCGGUGUUGACCGCCUCCGCCCAAAACCGAUCCGAAGUCUUGUAUUCAUCAAGCAUGGUUCUUGCCAUGUCCAAUAGAGUUCGAUUCUUCCUCUCCACUACACCAUUUUGUUGUGGCGUGUAGGGAGAAGAGAACUCAUGCUUGAUGCCCUCCUCCUCAAGGAAGCCUUCAAUUUGAGAGUUCUUGAACUCCGUUCCGUUGUCGCUUCUAAUUUUCUUGAUCCUUAAGCCGAACUCAUUUUGAGCCCGUCUCAAGAAUCCCUUUAAGAUUUCUUGGGUUUGAGAUUUUUCCUGUAAAAAGAAUACCCAAGUGAAGCGAGAAUAAUCAUCCACAAUAACUAGACAGUACUUACUCCCGCCGAUGCUUAUGUAAGCGAUCGGGCCGAAUAGAUCCAUGUGUAGGAGCUCCAGUGGCCUGUCGGUCGUCAUUAUGUUCUUAUGCGGAUGAUGAGUGCCAACUUGCUUUCCUGCUUGGCAUGCGCUACAAAUCCUGUCUUUCUCAAAAUGAACAUUUGUUAGUCCUAAAAUGUGUUCUCCCUUUAGAAGCUUAUGAAGAUUCUUCAUCCCAACAUGUGCUAGUCGGCGAUGCCAGAGCCAACCCAUGUUGGUCUUAGCAAUUAAGCAAGUAUCGAGUUCAGCUCUAUCAAAAUCUACCAAGUAUAGCUGACCCUCUAAUACUCCCUUAAAUGCUAUUGAAUCAUCACUUCUUCUAAAGACAGUAACACCAAUAUCAGUAAAAAGACAGUUGUAGCCCAUUUGACAUAAUUGAGAAACAGAAAGCAAGUUGUAAUCUAAAGAAUCUACAAGAAAAACAUUUGAAAUGGAGUGGUCAGGAGAUAUAGCUAUUUUACCCAAACCUUUGACCAAACCUUGAUUUCCAUCCCCGAAUGUGAUCGCUCUUUGGGGAUCUUGGUUUUUCUCGUAGGAGGAGAACAUUUUCUUCUCCCCUGUCAUGUGGUUUGUGCACCCGCUGUCGAGUAUCCAACUUGAGCCCCCGGAUGCAUAAACCUACAAAACAAGUUUAGUUCUUGACUUUAGGUACCCAAAUGGUUUUGGGUCCUUUGGCAUUAGACACAAGAACUUUGGGUACCCAAACACAAGUCUUGGAGCCCUUGUGCUUGCCCCCAACAUAUUUGGCAACUACCUUGCCGGAUUUGUUAGUUAAAACAUAAGAUGCAUCAAAAGUUUUAAAUGAAAUGUUAUGAUCAUUUGAUGCACUAGGAGUUUUCUUUCUAGGCAACUUAGCAUGGGUUGGUUGCCUAGAGCUAGAUGUCUCACCCUUAUACAUAAAAGCAUGAUUAGGGCCAGAGUGAGACUUCCUAGAAUGAAUUUUCCUUAUUUUGCUCUCGGGAUAACCAGCAGGGUAUAAAAUGUAACCCUCGUUAUCCUGAGGCAUGGGAGCCUUGCCCUUAACAAAGUUGGACAAUUUUUUAGGAGGGGCAUUAAUUUUGACAUUGUCUCCCCUUUGGAAGCCAAUGCCAUCCUUAAUGCCCGGGCGUCUCCCAUUAUAAAGCAUGCUACGAGCAAAUUUAAAUUUCUCAUUUUCUAAGUUGUGCUCGGCAAUUUUAGCAUCUAGUUUUGCUAUGUGAUCAUUUUGUUGUUUAAUUAAAGCCAUAUGAUCAUGAAUAGCAUUAACAUCAACAUCUCUACAUCUUGUACAAAUAGAUACAUGCUCAACAAUAGAUGUAGAGGGUUUGCAAGAAUUAAGCUCAACAAUCUUAGCAUGAAGAAUAUCAUUUUUAUCUCUAAGAUCGGAAAUUGUAGUUUUGCAGACAUCAAAAUCUUUAGCCUUAGCAAGCAAUUUUUCAUUCUCAAUUCUAAGGCUAGCGAGGGAAGCAUUCAACUCAUCAAUCCUAGCAAGUAAAUCAACAUUAUCAUCUCUAGGAUUUGAAGUUGAAAUAUUGCAAACAUGUGAAUCAACCUUAGCAUUUAAACUAGCAUUUUCAUUUCUAAGGUUGUUAAUCAUCUCACGGCAAGUGCUUAGCUCACUAGAUAACUUUUCACAUUUUUCAAUUUCAAGAGCAUAAGCCUUUUUAACCUUAACAUGUUUCUUGUUUUCUUUAAUUAGACAAUCUUCUUGGGAAUCUAAAAGAUCAUCCUUUUCAUGAAUAGCACUAACUAAUUCAUUUAAUUUUUCUUUUUGAGCUAUGUUAAGGUUGGCAAAAAGGGAACGCAAAUUAUCCUCCUCAUCACUAGCAUUAUCAUCACUAGAAGACUCAUAUUUAGUGGAGGAGUUGGAUUUAACCUUCUUCCGUUUGCCGUCCUUUGCCAUGAGGCACUUGUGGCCGACGUUGGGGAAGAGAAGUCCCUUGGUGACGGCGAUGUUGGCGGCGUCCUCGUCGUCGGAGGAGUCGCUUGAGCUUUCGUCGGAGUCCCACUCCCGACAAACAUGGGCAUCGCCGCCCUUCUUCUUGUAGUAUCUCUUCUUCUCCUUUCUUCUCCCUUUCUUGUCGUCGCCCCUGUCACUAUCACUUGAUAAUGGACAUUUAGCAAUAAAAUGACCGGGCUUACCACACUUGUAGCAAACUUUCUUGGAACGGGAUUUGUAAUCCUUCCCCUUCCGUUGCUUGAGGAUUUGGCGAAAGCUUUUGAUGAUUAAAGCCAUCUCCUCAUUGUCGAGCUUGGAGGCGUCAAUUGGUUGUCUACUUGGUGUAGACUCCUCCUUCUUCUCCUCCGUCGCCUUAAAUGCCACCGGUUGUGCCUCGGAUGUGGUGGGUUCAUCAAGCUCGUUGAUCUUCUUGGAGCCUUUGAUCAUGCAUUCAAAGCUCACAAAAUUCCCGAUAACUUCCUCGGGGGUCAUUUGAGUAUAUCUAGGAUUACCACGAAUUAAUUGAACUUGAGUGGGGUUAAGAAAAAUGAGUGAUCUAAGAAUAACCUUAACCACCUCGUGGUCAUCCCACUUCUUGCUCCCGAGGUUGCGCACUUGGUUCACCAAAGUCUUGAGCCGGUUGUACAUGUCUUGUGGCUCUUCCCCUUGGCGAAGACGGAAGCGACCGAGCUCCCCCUCGAUCGUUUCCCGCUUGGUAAUCUUGGUGAGUUCAUCACCUUCGUGCGCGGUCUUGAGUAGAUCCCAAAUUUCCUUUGCAUUCUUCAACCCUUGCACCUUGUUGUAUUCCUCUCUAUUUAGAGAGGCCAAGAGUAUGGUUGUGGCUUGGGAGUUGAAGUGCUCGAUUUGGGCCACCUCGUCCUCAUCAUAAUCCUCAUCCCCUAUGGAUGGUACCUGUGCUCCAAACUCAACAACAUUCCAUAUACUUUUGUGGAGUGAGGUUAGAUGAAAUUUCAUUAAAUCACUCCACCUAGCAUAAUCUUCACCGUCAAAGGUUGGCGGUUUGCCUAAUGGAACGGAAAGUAAUGGAGUAUGUCUAGAUGUACGAGGAUAGUGUAAGGGGAUCUUACUAAACUUCUUACGCUCUUGGCGUUUAGAAGUUACGGAGGGCGCAUCGGAGUCGGAGGUUGGUGUUGAUGAAGUGUCGGUCUCGUAGUAGACCACCUUCCUCAUCCUCUUGUGCUUGUCGCCUUUCCGAUGCGGCUUGUGAGAAGAAGAUUUUUCCUUCUUCUCUUUGUGGUGUGAGGAAGAAGAUCUUUUCUCCUUUCGUUUGGAGGAGUCCUUCUUCUUCUCCUUCCUUUUGGUGCGGGACUCUUCCGAUGAAGUGCUCCCUUGGCUUGUAGUGGGCUUGUCGCCGGUCUCCAUCUCCUUCUUGGCGUGAUCUCCCGACAUCACUUCGAGCGGUUAGGCUCUAAUGAAGCACCGCGCUCUGAUACCAAUUGAAAGUCGCCUAGAGGGGGGGGUGAAUAGGGCGAAACUGAAAUUCACAAAUAUAAACACAACUACAAGCCGGGUUAGCGUUAGUAAUAUAGAAACGAGUCCGCGAGAGAGGGUGAAAAACAAAUCCCAAGCAAAUAAGCAAGUGAGACACGGAGAUUUGUUUUACCGAGGUUCGGUUCUCUCAAACCUACUCCCCGUUGAGGAGGCCACAAAGGCCGGGUCUCUUUCAACCCUUCCCUCUCUCAAACGAUCCACGGAUCGAGUGAGCUUUCUCUUCUCAAUCACUUGGAACACAAAGUUCCCACAAGGACCACCACAAGUUUGGUGUCUCUUGCCUCAAUUACAAGUGAGUUUGAUUGCAAUGAAAGAAUCAAGAAAGCACGAUUGAAAAAGCCAAGCGACAAGAGCGACAAAUAACACACGGAUCACUUUUUCUCUCAAGUCACUAAUCACUAAUGAUCUCUUUUCUCAAUUGUGAAACUUGGAGAGAUGGAGGCUUUGAAUGUGUCUUGGAAUGGAUUGCUAGCUCUUGUAUUGAAUGUUGAAGGUUGGAAUGCUUGGAUGAAGUGAAUGGAGGUGGUUGGGGUUGUAUUUAUAGCCACCAACCACUUCCUAGCCGUUGGGCCAUUCUGCCGAGCGCGGACGGUCCGCCCUCCUGGUGCGGACGGUCCGCCCCUGUAGAUCAACGGCUGAAAAUGCAACGGUCAGCAGUAACGGCUAUAUCAACGGCUAUAUUGCAUUUAAUGCGUCGUCAGAUGUCAGACAGAGCCAGUCGCGGACGGUCCGGUCGUGCACCCCGGACGGUCCACGAGGCCCCCUAUAAUUCAUUUCUCCGAACCCGUUACCUUCGGGUUUUUCGGUUUCUUACCGACCGGACGGUCCGCGCCUAAGGCCGGACGGUCCGCACGAGGGCUCGGACGGUCUUUGCUUUUCCUUCGGACAGUCCGUAAUGGAAACUUGUAUUUUUGCAUUGGUUCUGUCCGAGAGUCAUUUUAGUGUUGCGGACGGUCCGCCGCAAGGGCCCGGACGGUCCGCGCUUGGCCUGUUUUUCCAAAAAGCUUCUCCUGUCCGGAAUAAUCUACGGUAUUCCGGACAGUCGAUUUAGCAUAGUUAUAGAUGAACUUUUGGCACCUGUAAAACAUAUAAUCUAGAGCAAACUAGUUAGUCCAAUUGUUUGUGUUGGGCGAUUCAACCACCAAAACUAUUUAGGAACUAGGUGUAAGCCUAAUUCCCUUUCACUUCCCCCUCCUUCGCUUGAGGAUUUGGCGAAAGCUCUUGAUGAUGAGCGCCAUCUCCUCAUUAUCAAGCUUGGAGGCGUCGAUGGGGACCUACUUGGUGUAAAGUCUUCUUUCUUCUCCUCCGUUGCCUUGAAUGCAACGGGUUGUGCCUCGGGUACGGAGGAGGCGCCUUGCUCGAUGAUCUUCUUGGAGCCUUUGAUCAUUAAUUCAAAGCUCACAAAUUUUCCUAUCACUUCCUCGGGAGACAUUAGUUUAUAUCUUGGAUCACCAUGAAUUAAUUGAACUUGAGUAGGGUUAAGAAAAACGAGUGAUCUAAGAAUAACUUUGAACAUUUCAUGGUCAUCCCAUUUUGUGCUCCUGAGGUUGCGAACUUGGUUCACCAAGGUCUUGAGCCGGUUAUACAUGGCUUGUGGCUCCUCUCCUUGGUGAAGCAUGAAGCGACCGAGCUCCCCCUCGAUCGUUUCCCUCUUGGUGAUAUUAGUCACCUCGUCUUCUUCGUGCGCAGUCUUGAGCACGUCCCAAAUCUCCUUUGCACUCUUCAACCCUUGCACCUUAUUAUACUCUUCUCAACUUAGAGAGGCGAGGAGUAUAGUAGUGGCUUGGGAGUUGAAGUGUUGGAUUUGUUCGACCUCCUCCGAAUCAUAAUCCUUGUCCCCUUCCUUUGGUACCUGCGCUCCAUACUCAACAAUAUCUCAUAUGCUUUUGUGGAGUGAGGUUAGGUGAUGCCUCAUUUUAUCACUCCACAUAGAAUAAUCUUCACCAUCAAACACAGGUGGUUUGCCUAAUGGUACGGAAAGUAAUGGAGUGCGUUUUGAAAUACGAGGAUAGAGAAGGUGCAUCUUACUAUACUUCUUCCGCUCAUGGCGCUUAGAAGUGGCGGAUGCCGAUUCCGAGCCGGAGGUGGAAGGUGACAAAGAGUCGGUCUCGUAGUAGACCACCUUCUUCAUCUUCUUUUUCUUGUCACCCUUCCAUUGGGACUUGAUGGAGGAAGAGGAUUCCUCCUUGUGCUUGUGGGCGGACUCCCUUGAGUGCGUUCUCCCCGAGCUUGCGGACUUGUCGCCGGUCCUGAUCUCCCUCUUGGCGGAUGCUCAUGACAUCACUUCGAGCGGUUAGGCUCUAAUGAAGUAUCGGGCUCUGAUACCAAUUGAAAGUCGCCUAGAGGAGGGUGAAUAGGCAAAUCUGAAAUUUAUUAAGUUUAAGCACAACUACAAGCCGGGGUUAGCGUUAGAAAUAUAAUUGAGUCCGAAAGAGAGGGAAAACAAAUCAACAAAGAAAUAAAGUGGAUGAACAUGGUGAUUUGUUUUACCGAGGUUUGGUUCUUGCAAACCUACUCCCCGUUGAGGUGGUCACAAAGACCGGGUCUCUUUCAACCCUUUCCCUCUCUCAAACGGUCACUUAGACCGAGUGAGCCUUUUUCUUCAAUCAAAUGGGACACUAAGUCCACUACAAGGACCACCACAACUUGGUGUCUCUUGUUUUGAUUACAAGUGAAUUGAGCACAAGAAUGAAGAAAGAAGAAAAGCAAUCCAAGCGCAAGAGCUCAAAUGAACACAAAAGUCUCUCUCUCUAGUCACUAAAUUGUUUGGAGUGAUUCCGGACUUGGGAGAGGAUUUGAUCUCUUUUGUUUGUGUCUUGUAUUGAAUGCUAUAGCUCUUGUAUGAGGUGUGAAGGCUGAAAACUUGGAUACAUUGAAGUGUGGUGGUUGGGGGGUAUUUAUAGCCCCAACCACCAAAAGAACCAUCGGUGGAGGCUGCUGUCGUAUGGCGCACCGGACAGUCCGGUGCGCCACUGGACACUGUCCGGUGCACCAGCCAUGUCACCCGACCGUUAGGGUUCGACUGUUGGAGCUUCUGACAGCUAGGCCACUGGACAGUCCGGUGGUGCACCAGACAGUCACUGUUCACUGUCUGGUGCGCCUUCUGGCUCUGCUCUGACUUCUGCGCGCACUGUAGCGCAUUAACUGCUCAUUGCAGACGACCGUUGGCGCUGUGUAGCCGUUACUCCGCUGGCGCACCGGACAGUCCGGUGCUACACCGGAUAGUCCGGUGAAUUAUAGCGGAGUUCAGAGUUGGGUCCCUGGUGCACCGGACACUGUCCGGUGGCGCACCGGACAGUCCGGUGCGCCAGACUAGGGCACACUUCGGUUGUCUUUUGCUCUCUUUGUUUGAACCCUUUCUUGGUCUUUUUAUUGGUUUGUUGUGAACCUUUGGCACCUGUAAAACUUAUAAUCUAGAGCAAACUAGUUAGUACAAUUAUUUGUGUUGGGCAAUUCAACCACCAAAAUCAAUUAGGAAAAGGUGUAAGCAUAUUUCCCUUUCAGCUGGCAUACACGUAUGCAUAACCUAGUUACAAAAAGAAGAAAACCUAACCCCUUAGACUUGUUCCUAUGGGUAGAACUUACGGAGAUGCUCUAUGCUCCAAGGGUUGGGACGAGGCACUCCUUCAGUUGUGGCGAAGCGGACACGCCCGGGUCGGCAUACUUCCGUCACCUUGAAGGGUCCUUCCCAACUAGAGGGGAGUUUGUGGAGCCCUUCUCGGUUUGGGAUUCGCCUUAGGACCAGGUCCCUGACCCCGGGCUCCCUACUAUGCACGAACCGCUAGUGGUAGCGCUUGGUUGUACUGUGCAUUUCGGAUCACCGCUCGCCAUCUGCGGUCGUCGGUGGAGUCCGCGCCUUCACGCCGUAGCUGUUCCUGCAUAGACUCAUCAAAAGACUGGGUCCGUGGGGAGCCCAUAAGGGUUUUCGGGGAAGACAAGCUUCAGGCCCAUAGACUAGAAAGGGCAGGGUCGCCCCGGUAGCCUGGCUAGCUGUCGUCACCGGAUUUGGAGCCUCCGGUGAAGACAUCCUUCAGGACCCCCUCGGGUGACUGAUACUCGAGGUCCCGUUCUCCCGUGGCCACCUCGCCGUUGUCGACCCUUUCCUUGCUAGGGCGGCGACGAGGUGGGGAGCCAUCCCUGGAGGUCUGUUCGCGCCGCUCGCUGACACGCUUCGCGAGCUCGAUGAUCUCGUGACACUCCGCGGCGCUAUGGUGACUAUUGGGGUGUACAGGGCAUGAGCCGUUGUUACCCCUCUGCGGCCGUGGGCGCUUGUUGCGCUCGUUCCAGCCCCCAGUCGCAGUUGCGACGACCAGAGCGGCAGACGACGGCUUCUCGUGGCCGUGGUUCUUUUUCCUCUUUUUGCCGUCCUGAGCGACGGCACCCGAGCCACCCAUCUGGGCAGCCCCGGUCUGUGGUGCCGAGUGCCAUGCACGACCCUCGAUGGCCCUGGUGCACUUGUCGGUUAGAGCGAAGAGCGUGGUGACAGUUUCCACGUCAUGCGUGGCCAACUUCUCCAGCAUCUUUUCAUCACGUACUCCCUGGCGGAAAGCAGUGAUGAUGGAAGCAUCUGAAAUACGGGGUAUGGUGUCUCGUACCUUGGUGAAGCGGGAGAUAAACGUCUGGAGGGUUUCCCCGGGCUCCUACCUCACUGCGUGGAGGUGGGCCUCCACGCCAUGUUGUUGAUAAGCGCUGGCGAAGUUCACUGUGAACCACGCGCAGAGCCCUUCCCAGGAGUAUAUUGAUCCUAGGGUAAGGUUCAUGAGCCAAGUCCGUGCAGGCCCAGACAAGGCAACAUGAAAAUAUGUUGCCAUUACGGCGGUGUCUCCACCCGCUGCCGUAAUGGCGGUGACGUACACCUGCAAGAAUUUCGACGGGUUGGAUGUACCAUCGUACUUUUCCGGCAGGUGCGGCCGGAACUUGGAUGGCCAGGUGAAAGGGAAAUAGGCUUACACCUUUUUCCUAAAUGAUUUUGGUGGUUGAAUUGUCCAACACAAAUAAUUGGACUAACUAGUUUGUUCUAGAUUAUAAGUUUUACAGGUGCCAAAGGUUCAACACAAACCAAUAAAAAGUCCAAGAAACGGUUAAAAUAAAAAGAGCAAAAGACAACCGAAAGGCAGCCCUGGUCUGGCGCACCGGACAGUCCGGUGUGCCACCGGACAAUGUCCGGUGCACCACCGGACAGUGUCCUGUGCACCAGGGAGCUCAACUCCGAACUCGCCACCUUCGGGAAUUCUGAGAGCCACUCCGCUAUAAUUCACCGGACUGUGCGGUACUCCGGUGUAGCACCGGACUGUCCUGUGUGCCAAGCGGAGCAACGGCUACCUGCGCCAACGGUCGUCUGCAACGGGUACAAUGAACAGUGAACAGUGCCGACUGCACGCGUAGAGUCAGAGCAGGCGUCAGAUGGCGCACCGGACAGUGAACAGGACCUGUCCGGUGCACCACCAGACUGUCCGGUGACCCACAUGUCAGAAGCUCCAACAGUCGAACCCUAAUGGUUGGGUGACGUGGCUGGCGCACCAGACAGUGUCCGGUGCGCCAUACGACAGCAGCCUUCCCCAACGGCCAUUUUGGUGGUUGGGGCUAUAAAUACCCCCAACCACCACACUUCAAUGCAUCCAAGUUUUCAGCCAUCAAACCUCAUACAAGAGCUCUAGACUUCAUUCCAAGACACAAACAAAGAGAUCAAAUCCUCUCCCAAGUCCGGCAUCACUCCAAACAAAUUAGUGACUAGAAAGAGAGACUUUUGUGUUCUUUUGAGCUCUUGCGCUUGGAUCACUUUUCUUCUUCCUCCUUUCUUGUUCUCAAGAUCAUUGUAAUCAAAGCAAGAGACACCAAGUUGUGGUGGUCCUUGUAGUGGACUAAGUGUCCCGUUUGAUUGAAGAGAUAAGCUCACUCGGUCUAAGUGACCGUUUGAGAGAGGGAAAGGGUUGAAAGAGACCCGGUCUUUGUGACCACCUCAACGGGGAGUAGGUUUGCAAAAACCGAACCUCGGUAAAACAAAUCACCAUGUCAUCCGCUCUUAUUGCUUGUGAUUUGUUUUCGCCCUCUCUUUCAGACCCGAUUAUAUUUCUAACGCUAACCCCGGCUUGUAGUUGUGCUUAAAGUUUAUAAAUUUCAGAUUUGCCUAUUCACCCCCCCUCUAGGUGACUUUCAAUUGGUAUCGGAGCUUGGUACUUCAUUAAGAGCCUAACCGCUCGAAGUGAUGUCGGGAGCUCACGCCAAGAAGGAGAUGUUGACCGGCGAGAAGCCCGCCACAAGCCACGGGAAAGCUCCAUCGGGAGAGUCCGGCAACAAGAAGAGGGAGGAAUCACCUCCCCACGUCAAGUUACACCGGAGUGGCGACAAGAAGAAGAAAAUGAAGAAAGUGGUCUACUACGAGACCGAUUCUUCGUCGCCUUCCACCUCCGGCUCUAACACGUCGUCCGUCACUUCUAAGCGCCAUGAGCGCAAGAAGUUUAGUAAGAUCCCCUUACGCUACCCCCGCAUUUCCAAAUGCACCCCUUUACUUUCCGUCCCACUAGGCAAACCACCGGUUUUUUACGGUGAAGAUUAUUGUAUGUGGAGUGAUAAAAUGAGGCACCAUCUAACCUCACUCCACACUAGCAUUUGGGACAUUGUUAAGUUUGGUGCACAGGAACCAUCCGUGGGGGAUGAAGGCUAUGACUCGGACGAGGUAGCCCAAAUCCGGCACUUCAACUCCCAAGCCACUACUAUACUCCUCGCCUCUCUAAGUCGAGAGGAGUAUAAUAAGGUGCAAGGGUUGAAGAGUGCCAAAGAAAUUUGGGACGUGCUAAAGACCGCGCACGAAGGAGACGAGGUGACCAAGAUCACCAAGAGGGAAACGAUCGAGGGGGAGCUCGGUCGCUUCAUGCUUCACCAAGGGGAGGAGCCACAAGCCAUGUACAACCGGCUCAAGACCUUGGUGAACCAAGUGCGCAACCUUGGGAGCACCAAAUGGGAUGACCAUGAAAUGGUCAAGGUUAUUCUUAAAUCACUCGUUUUCCUUAACCCUACUCAAGUUCAAUUAAUUCAUGGUGAUCCAAGAUAUAAACUAAUGUCUCCCGAGGAAGUGAUAGGAAAAUUUGUGAGCUUUGAAUUAAUGAUCAAAGGCUCCAAGAAAAUCAUCGAGCAAGGCGCCACCUCUACAUCCAAGGUGCAACCCGUCGCCUUCAAGGCGACGGAGGAGAAGAAGGAAGAAUCUACAUCAAGUAGGCUUCCCAUCGACGCCUCCAAGCUCGACAAUGAGGAGAUGACUUUAAUCAUAAAAAGCUUUUGCCAAAUCCUCAAGCAAAGGAGGGGGAAAGAUUACAAGCCCCGCUCCAAGAAGGUUUGCUACAAGUGUGGUAAGCAUGGUCACUUUAUAGCAAAAUGUCCUAUUUCUAGUGACAGUGACAGGGGCGACGACAAGAAGGGGAGAAGAAAGGAGAAGAAGAAGUAUUACAAGAAGAAGGGUGGCGAUGCCCAUGUUUGCCGGGAAUGGGACUUCGACGAGAGCUCCACCAACUCCUCCUUCGACGAGGACGCCGCAAACAUCACCGUCAAUAAGGGUCUCCUCUUCCCCAACAUCGGCCACAAAUGCCUCAUGGCAAAGGACGACAAAAAGAAGGUAAAAUCUAGAGCCUCCACUAAAUAUGCAACAUCUAGUGAUGAGGAGAACUCUAGUGAUGAUGAGGAUAAUUUGCUCAUCCUUUUUGCCAACCUAAACAUGCAACAAAAAGAAAAAUUGAAUGAAUUGAUUAGUGUUAUUCAUGAGAAGGAUGAACUCUUGGAUAGCCAAGAGGACUUCCUUAUUAAAGAAAAUAAGAAGCAUGUUAAAGUUAAAAAUAUGUAUGCUCAGGAGAUAGAAAAAUGUGAAAAAUUAACUAGUGAGCUAAGCACCUGCCAUGAUACUAUUUCUAACCUUAGAAAUGAAAAUGCUAAAUUAAUUGCUAAGAUUGAGAAUUUAAAUGUUUGUGAUGAUUCUCUUGUCAAACUUAAAAAUGACAAUGCUAAUUUAAUUGCUAAGAUUGACAAGUUGAAUGAAUCAAUUACUAGCCUGAAGAUAGAAAAUGAAAAAUUGAUUACUAAGGCUAAAAAUUUAAAUGUUUGCAAUGAUAUUGUUUCCAAUCUUAGAAAUGAGAAUGUCAUGUUACAUGCUAAGAUUGAUGAAUUAAACGUUUGCAAAUCCUCUACAUCUACCACUGAGCAUGUUACCAUUUGCACUAGAUGUAGAGAUAUUAAUGUUGAUGUUAUUUAUGAUCACCUAGCUUUAAUUAAACAACAAAAUGAUCACAUAGCUCAACUUAGUGCUAAGAUUAAUGAGUAUGACUUAGAAAAUGAAAAAUUUAAAUUUGCUAGAAGCAUGCUAUAUAGUGGGAGACGCCCAGGCAUUAAGGAUGGCAUUGGCUUCCAACAAGGAGACAAUGUCAAGCUUAAUGCCCCUAAGAAAUUAUCCAACUUUGUUAAAGGCAAUGCUCCCAUGGUUCAGGAUAAAGAGGGUUACAUUUUGUACCCUGUCGGUUAUCCCGAACACAAAAUUAGGAGAAUUCACUCUAGGAAGUCUCACUCUGGCUCUCAUCAUGCUUUUAUGUAUAAGAGUGAGGCAUCUAGUUCUAGGCAAUCCACUCAUGCUAAAUUGUCUAAGAAGAAAACUCCUAUUGCAUCAAAUGAACCUAAUAUUUCAUUUAAGACUUUUGAUGCAUCUUAUGUGCUCACUAACAAAUCAGGCAAAGUAGUUGCCAAAUAUGUUGGGGGCAAACAGAAGGGGUCAAAGACUUGUGUUUGGGUACCCAAGGUGCUUGUUUCUAAUGUGAAAGGACCCAAGACCGUUUGGGUACCUAAGAACAAGGCCUAAAUUUGUUUUGUAGGUUUAUGCAUCCGGGGGCUCAAGUUGGAUAAUUGAUAGCGGGUGCACAAACUACAUGACUGGGGAGAAAAGGAUGUUCUCCUCCUACAAGAAAAACCAUGAUCCCCAAAGAGCUAUCACAUUCGGGGAUGGAAAUCAAGGUUUGGUCAAAGGACUUGGUAAAAUUGCUAUAUCUCCUGACCAUUCUAUUUCCAAUGUUUUUCUUGUAGAUUCUUUAGAUUAUAACUUGCUUUCUGUUUCUCAAUUAUGCAAAAUGGGUUACAACCGUCUUUUUACGGAUAUAGGUGUUACUGUCUUGAGAAGAAGUGAUGAUUCAGUAGCAUUUAAGGGAGUGUUAGAGGGUCAGCUAUACUUAGUUGAUUUUAAUAGAGCUGAACCCGACACUUGCUUAAUUGCUAAGACUAACAUGGGUUGGCUCUGGCAUCGCCGACUAGCCCACGUUGGGAUGAAGAAUCUUCACAAGCUUCUAAAGGGAGAGCACAUUUUGGGACUAACAAAUGUUCAUUUUGAGAAAGACAGGAUUUGUAGCGCAUGUCAAGCAGGGAAGCAAGUUGGUGUUCAUCAUCCACACAAGAACAUCAUGACGACCGACAGACCGCUUGAGCUACUCCACAUGGAUCUAUUCGGCCCGAUCGCUUACAUAAGCAUCGGCGGGAGUAAGUAUUGUCUUGUAAUUGUGGAUGAUUAUUCUCGUUUCACUUGGGUGUUCUUUUUGCAGGAAAAAUCUCAAACCCAAGAGACCUUAAAGUGAUUCUUAAGACGGGCUCAAAAUGAGUUCGGCUUAAGGAUCAAGAAGAUUAGAAGCGACAACGGGACGGAGUUCAAAAACUCACAAAUAGAAGGCUUCCUUGAGGAUGAGGGCAUCAAGCAUGAGUUCUCUUCUCCUUACACCCCACAACAAAAUGGUGUAGUGGAGAGGAAGAAUAGAACUCUACUUGACAUGGCGAGGACCAUGCUUGAUGAGUACAAGACUUUGGACCGGUUUUGGGCAGAAGCAAUCAACACCACUUGCUACGCCAUCAACCGUGUCUACCUUCACCGAAUCCUCAAGAAGACAUCGUAUGAACUCCUCACCGGUAAAAAGCCCAAUGUUUCAUAUUUUAGAGUAUUUGGUAGCAAAUGCUUUAUUCUUGUUAAAAGAGGUAGAAAAUCUAAAUUUGCUCCUAAGGCUGUAGAAGGCUUUUUACUUGGUUAUGAUUCAAACACAAGGGCAUAUAGAGUCUUUAACAAGUCCACUGAACUACUUGAAGUUUCUUGUGACAUUGUGUUUGAUGAGACUAAUGGCUCUCAAGUAGAGCAAGAUGAUCUUGAUGAGUUAGAUGAUGAAGAGGCUCCAUGCGUCGCGCUAAGGAACAUGUCCAUUGGGGAUGUGUGUCCUAAGGAAUCCGAAGAGCCUCCACAUGCACAAGAUCAACCAUCAUCUUCCUCCAUGCAAGCAUCCCCACCAACCCAAGAUGAGGAUCAAGCUCAAGAUGAUGAAAAUGAAGAUCAAGAGGAGCCACCUCAAGAGGAGGACAAUGAUCAAGGGGGAGAUGCCCAUGAUCAAGACAAGGAAGAUGAUGAGGGUAGAAGACCGCCUCACCCAAGAGUCCUCCAAGCAAUACAACGAGAUCACCCCGUGAACACCAUCCUCGGCGAUAUUCAUAAGGGGGUAACCACUCGAUCUCGUGUUGCUCAUUUUUGUGAACAUUACUCCUUUGUGUCUUCUAUUGAGCCAUAUAGGGUGGAAGAUGCAUUAAGGGAUUCAGAUUGGGUGUUGGCAACGCAAGAGGAACUCAACAACUUCACAAGGAAUGAGGUAUGGCAUUUAGUUCCACGUCCUAACCAAAAUGUUGUAGGAACCAAGUGGGUCUUCCACAACAAGCAAGAUGAGCAUGGUGUGGUGACAAGGAACAAAGCCCGACUUGUGGCCAAGGGUUAUUCCCAAGUCGAAGGUUUGGAUUUCGGUGAAACCUAUGCACCCGUAGCUAGGCUUGAGUCAAUUCGUAUAUUACUUGCCUAUGCUACUUACCAUGGCUUUAAGCUUUACCAAAUGGACGUGAAUAGUGCAUUCCUCAAUGGACCAAUCAAGAAAGAGGUCUAUGUUGAGCAACCUCCCGGCUUUGAAGAUAGUGAGUACCCUAACCAUGUCUAUAAACUCUCUAAGGCGCUUUGUGGGCUCAAGCAAGCCCCAAGAACAUGGUAAUGAAUGACUAAGAGAUUUUCUUAUCGCUAAUGGCUUCAAAGUCGGAAAAGCCGAUCCUACUCUCUUUACUAAAACAAUUGCAAAUGAUUUGUUUGUAUGCCAAAUUUAUGUUGAUGAUAUCAUAUUUGGUUCUACUAACAAAUCUACUUGUGAAGAGUUUAGUAGGAUUAUGAUUCAAAAAUUCGAGAUGUCUAUGAUGGGGGAGUUGAAGUAUUUCUUAGGAUUUCAAGUGAAGCAACUCCAAGAGGGCACCUUCAUCAGCCAAACGAAGUACAUUCAAUACAUACUCACCAAGUUUGGGAUGAAGGAUGCCAAGCCCAUCAAGACACCCAUGGGAACUAAUGGGCAUCUCGACCUCGACACGGGAGGUAAAUCCGUAGAUCAAAAGGUAUACCGGUCGAUGAUAGGAUCUUUACUCUAUUUAUGUGCAUCUCGACCGGAUAUUAUGCUUUUCGUAUGCAUGUGUGCAAGAUUCCAAGUCGAUCAUAAGGAAGUUCACCUUAGGGCCGUAAAACGAAUCUUGAUAUAUUUAGUUUAUACUCCUAAGUUUGGCCUUUGGUACCCCAAGGGAUCCACUUUUGAUUUAAUUGGUUAUUCAGAUGCUGAUUGGGCAGGGUGUAAAAUUGAUAGAAAGAGCACAUCAGGGACUUGUCAGUUCUUAGGAAGAUCUCUGGUGUCUUGGGCUUUAAAGAAGCAAAAUUCUGUAGCUCUUUCUACCGCCGAAGCCGAGUACAUUGCCACAGGCCAUUGUUGCGCGCAAUUGCUAUGGAUGAGGCAAACCCUUAGGGACUAUGGUUACAAAUUAACCAAAGUUCCUCUUCUAUGUGAUAAUGAGAGUGCAAUCCGCAUGGCGGAUAAUCCCGUUGAGCACAGCCGCACUAAGCACAUAGUCAUUCGGUAUCACUUUUUGAGGGAUCACCAACAAAGGGGGGAUAUCGAGAUUGCAUAUGUUAGCACCAAAGAACAAUUAGUCGAUAUCUUUACCAAGCCACUAGAUGAGAAAACAUUUACCAAACUUAGGCAUGAGCUAAACAUUCUUGAUUCUAAGAAUUUGGAUUGAUAUUCUGCACACAUAGCUUAUUUCAAUACCUUUGAUCAUAUCUCUUUCAUGUGCUAUGACUAAUGUGUUUGUCAAGUGUAUUUCAUACCAAGUCAUAGAUUGAAAGGGAAAUGGAGUCUUCGGCGAAGACAAGGCUUCCACUCCACUCCAUCAAGUUAUUCACCCUUCGCCGACACUCCGCAUCGCUCUCCAAUUUGGUAUAAUCUUCACUCCUACUUUAUUUACCAAAGGGAUAGAAAGUAAAAGGGCUUAUAUUUCACUCACAAGUAUCCGUUUUUGAUGAUUCAUGCCAAAGGGGGAGAAAGUAUUAGCCCAAAGCAAAAGGACCGCACCACCACCAAUUUCAAAAAAGUAGUCUUUCAAAUUUGUAUUAAAAGAAGGUUUUUUAAUUAGUAUCUUAUUUUUUAUAGAACUUUUAAAUUGGUAUAACCCUUUUCAAAAUUUAUAUCUAAAACCCUCUUGAACACUAAGAGGAGAAUUUCAUUGAGGGGGAGUUUUUUAGUCAAAGGAAAAGCAUUUGAAACAGGGGGAGAAAAUUUCAAAUCUUGAAAAUGCUUCUCAAAAUCUUAUUCAUUUACCUUUGACUAUUUGCAAAAGACUUUGAAAAGAAUUUCCAAAAGAAUUUGCAAAAACAAAACAAGUGGUGCAAGCGUGGUCCAAAAUGUUAAAUACGAAGAAAGCAUCCAUGCAUAUCAUAUGAAAUAAAUAUUGGUUUAAUUUCAAGCAACCUUUGCACUUACAUUAUGCAAACUAGUUCAAUUCUGCACUUAUAUAUUUGCUUUGGUUUGUGUUGGCAUCAAUCACCAAAAAGGGGGAGAUUGAAAGGGAAAUAGGCUUACACCUUUUUCCUAAAUGAUUUUGGUGGUUGAAUUAUCCAACACAAAUAAUUGGACUAACUAGUUUGUCCUAGAUUAUAAGUUUUACAGGUGCCAAAGGUUCAACACAAACCAAUAAAAAGUCCAAGAAAGGGUUCAAAUAAAAAGAGCAAAAGACAACCGAAAGGCAGCCCUGGUCUGGCGCACCGGACAGUCCGGUGUGCCGCGCGGACAAUGUCCGGUGCACCAGGGAGCUCAACUCCGAACUCGCCACCUUCAGGAAUUCUGGGAGCCACUCCGCUAUAAUUCACCAGACUGUCCGGUGUAGCACCGGACUGUCCGGUGUGCCAAGCGGAGCAACAGCUACCUGCGCCAACAGUCGUCUGCAACGGGUACAAUGAACAGUGCCGACUGCGCGCGCAGAGUCAGAGCAGGCAUCAGAUGGCGCACCGGACAGUGAACAGGACCUGUCCGGUGCACCACCGGACUGUCCGGUGACCCACAUGUCAGAAGCUCCAACGGUCGAACCCUAACGGUUAGGUGACGUGGCUGGCGCAUCGGACAGUGUCCGGUGGUGCAUCGAACUAUCUGGUGCGCCAUACGACAGCAGCCUUCCCCAACGACCAUUUUGGUGGUUGGGGCUAUAAAUACCCCCCAACCACCACACUUCAAUGCAUCCAAGUUUUCAGCCAUCAAACCUCAUACAAGAGCUCUAGACUUCGUUCCAAGACACAAACAAAGAGAUCAAAUCCUCUCCCAAGUCCGGAAUCACUCCAAACAAAUUACUGACUAGAGAGAGAGACUUUUGUGUUCUUUUGAGCUCUUGCGCUUAGAUCACUUUUCUUCUUCCUCCUUUCUUGUUCUCAAGAUCAUUGUAAUCAAAGCAAGAGACACCAAGUUGUGGUGGUCCUUGUAGUGGACUAAGUGUCCUGUUUGAUUGAAGAGAAAAGCUCACUCGGUCUAAGUGACUGUUUGAGAGAGGGAAAGGGUUGAAAGAGACCUGGUCUUUGUGACCACCUCAACGGGGAGUAGGUUUGCAAAAACCGAACCUCGGUAAAACAAAUCACUGUGUCAUCCGCUCUUAUUGCUUGUGAUUUGUUUUCGCCCUCUCUUUCGGACCCGAUUAUAUUUCUAACGCUAACCUUGGCUUGUAGUUGUGCUUAAAGUUUAUAAAUUUCAGAUUUGCCUAUUCACCCCCCCCCCUCUAGGCGACUUUCACCAGGUCGCUGCGUGGAGAUGAUUCGCGAGCGCGGCGCAGCCCACGCCGGCCAAAUGGACACCCACCUAGAACCGGGCGCCCACUGGGGUUUGCGGUGCUACCGCAACAAAGUCUUGAUCGAGGUUGCGACCCUCGAUGUUUAGCCGGCGCUCACGCGCCCUCUCUAGAGAGACUCGAGCGUCUUCACGACCCUCGAAGUUUUGUCGGCGCUCCCGCGCCCUAUCCAGAGAGACCCGGGCAUCCUCUCCCGCACGCCUAUGGUUGAGGUCUACCCGGAGGUCGUCGGUUUGUGCACCCCUCACAGAGGGUGAGCGCACAGACGUCGUUGCCUCAUGUUGGCGGCGGGAUGACCGUGGCCUAGACCUGGUCGAGCCAGAAUGCGCCAUGCCGAGCAGUCGGUCGACGUCGUCACGUCACUGCUUCAUGGCCCCCAGUGAGGCCGUGGAGCUUGGAGGGUGGCACAGCAACUCCCUGGCCACAGACAACGCCCCCGGAGCAGCCCUCGACGAAGUCCGGGAUGUUUGCGCAGUUGUAUGUUGUUGUGCAGCGUGCACAGCAGCAGUGCCCGGCACUGGGCAGUUGGGAACACGUGGCGUGGAAGAAGCAGCUUCUUCCUCCACCAGGAAAUUCUCUGAAGUCUCGGCGCGGUGCUCAACGAUUUGCACCAUCAUGCUGAGCCAGAAAACAAGCAAAAACCUAAAUGUCUAGCCCCCUACAUGGCACGCCAAAUGUCGGAGAGGAAUUCUCCGGCAGGGUGGCGGAAUGCACCCACCCUAAAUCCUAAGAUGAGGAGAGGCCUAAGCGUUUUGCCUGUUAGGUAAAAACGAGAAGAACACAAGAACACACAAGGAUUUAGAGUGGUUCGGACCGCCGGAGCGUAAUACCCUACUCCACUGUGUGAUGUAUUGAGCUUGAGAGCUUGAGAGUCUAAGUGAGCUUGAGCCUAAGUCCGGUCUGCCUUGUAACGUCGUGUUCCCUCCCUUUUAUAGCUCAAGGGGGGCACGUACAAGGGUGCUGGGUCCCGACAUGCAGGCCCAGGGGCAAAACGAAGGAAAUACAUAUAGAAGUAUCCAACGCCAGCGUCGCCCAGAAGAUCUCCGAGCGCCAUAUUGUCCGUAGUCCAUAUAGUAUUAAUAUCUCGCGGUUGCUUCCUCGGUAACGCACGAGCCAUGAUGAGCACAGUGUAUGCCGCAGCACGGGCGUACUGCCUGCCAUCGGAAUGGACAGGCACGCCGCCUGCAGGAUGGCCUGGUCGCCGCCCGUCAACGGAGCGGACAGGGCACAUUAAAUGCUGAGACGGCACAUCGCACGCCAGUGGAGUGGACAGUGCUCAUUUAAUGCUGAGGCGGCACAUCGCCCGCCAGUGGAAUGGACAGGCGACACACCUUAUCCGCAUUAAAUGCAGAGGCCGCGCGGCUCAGAGGCCUUACGUCAGGAUAUCAUCUUCUCUGGCCACGUGGCGGCCCUAGAGCUGGCCACGUGGUGGGGUCGGGUGCUGCUCACCACGUGACUAGAGAUAGUCGUGUGGGCACCACGUCUUCAUGCUAUAGUAAGGGGUACCCCUGUUUCAGGGUACUGACAGCACUGUUGUUGUUCCCCUGCGCGGCACUGCCAUGGCCCGGCACUGCCAGUAAUCAGAGCGGCACUACCGCUUGCCCUUCUCUAUAGUUUUGCUUCUGGUUUCCUGCAGACAUUUGAGUUGGUUCUCCUCUAGAAUUUUGGUACAGUCGAUCAACAUUGGAUUGGUCUGCAUAGUGCUACACUGUUUUUGGAGUCCCAUGGGGUUUGAAUUGAAUCUGGGAACAAGUCACGGUGCUCUCUAGUGGAGAAUUUUUUUGGCUCCCAUUCACCCCCUUAUAGUUGCCUUACAGGUCCUUCAAUUUGUAUCGGAGUCGUUAAGGAUCUUUCCAGCUUAAUCGGUUUUAGAUCCGCGAAGUCGACAUAGAACGAGGUGUUGGCAAGCUUAUGUUCUUCGAUGGGACGAACUAACCGUACUAAAAUAUUUGCAUGCAUGCGUAUUUUCAGAGCAUGAGUUACAAAGUACGGGAGAUUCGCCUUGAUGCUGGUUUCGAGAUCUAUGGUGCUCGAAUCACGCCCUCUAUAGAUAGAGUUCAUGUCCUGAAACGUUUUGUUGUUUUGUCUCUCGCUUGCUGAGUUUGAACGAGUUGGAGAUUUAGGUAUAGCUUAUGAGAUCUAGUCUACCCUGGAGAAAUUCCAUAAGUGUAACGAUCUAGAUACUCAUACUAUAAAUAUAUUGUUUUAUCUAGUUUUUAUCCACGUUUAACUAUAUUUCACUGUUUGGUGCAUGUUGACAAGUUCAUUAACAUUGAUGGAGGAGCCUGGUCCGCCCAUAUUCCCGAGUGACCGAAUAAGACCAGGGAUAAGGAGCGCCCUACUUCACCAACUAAGGUCUUGUUCGGUUAUUCUCAAUACAUAUGGAUUGGAUGAGAUUGGAAAAAAAUUAAGAAAAAGUUUGACUUGUUUGGGAUUCAAACCCAUCCAAUCUCACUCAAUCUAUAUAAAUUGAGAGCUAACCGAAUGGAUUGAGAGCUAACCGAACAAGCCCUAACUCAAAUGGAUUACCGAACAAGCCCUAACUAUGAAUAGGUCAAUAGAAGAGUAGAACCAUAGGGAGGCGGAGCUCUGGCCAUCGAUACCACGACAAUGACCAAUGUCACCAUCACACUCGGCCAGGAGGGUAUGUAGCAGAUCACACCUCGACAAUGACCAAUGUCACCAUCACACUCGGCCAGGAGGGUAUGUAUCAGAUCACACCUCGUAGAUUAGGUUUUAGGACUCUAUCAUCAUCAAAGUAGUUCGGAUUGGCGAUCUAGAGACUUAGGAAGAUACAUAGGGACACAAAGCUAUCAAAUUUUAAUGCAAAUAGAGCUACAGUGGCUCCGAAAUGUGGUGUUUUGUGUAGCUCACCCAAUAGAAGGCAUCCUCCCCAAGAAAAAAAAAGUAACUUUAUUUCCAUUCUUACAUUCAACUGAUGUAUCAGAGAGACAAUGUGUGCGUGUGUAUGUAAGCAGGAAACAAAUGAUGAAGGAAAAAAUCGUAACACUUGUCAUUAUUAUGUAACAUAGUAGAACAGUCUCAGCCUGCCUAAGAAUAGCUACCAGCUGCCGUUAAGAAUUCCUAAAACAAUUCCAGUGCCAAGAAAAUGUCAUGGUGCAUGGCACAGUUUAUCCAAAGUUGAACUGAAAGCCGCCACCUCCAGGGAAGCCGCCGCCGGGGAAGCCACCGUCGUAUUGAAACGUGUACUGCUGGCCGCCUCCCCCAAAAGGAUUGAAGCCACCCCCGCCUCCCAUAUUCAUCUCCUCCACAUCCUCUCCACGGUCAUACCUUACACGUUUGUCUUCAUCACCAAGCACCUGACACAUGCAGCAGAAGCUUGUGACAAACAUAUCGCACAAUACAUUCCAGCGAAACAACAUUCACAGAGCCGGAAAACCAUAAAAAAAAUGAUUGUAUUGUAAUGCCAGAUUGAACUAGCAUCUUAAGUAUAGCAAUGUUGUCAAUAGAAUGUGCACUGUAACCUACUACCAUCGUAUGCAAGAACCAUCAUUCCCAUUAUCCCAUAAAGCUUGGCAAAGAUAGUGGUUUUCUGAUUUUCUAAAGAGAGAACAGUCCCAUAGAGCAGCAGUACUUCAUCGUACCUCAUAAGCAGCAGCAAUUUCUCGAAACAUGUUUUCUGCUUUCUCCCGGUUAUCCACGUUUUUAUCUGGAUGCCACUGCAACGCCAGCUUUUUGUAGGCGCGUUUUAUCUCCGCAGCUGAUGCUGUCUUUGAAACACCAAGGAUUUUAUACCAGUCUUUUCUUUUGCUCAACUUAAGCUGCUUUUCAGCUCUCAUAAGUGCUUCACGGAUACCCAUGUCCUGGUUGUUAAAAAUGUUAGGUUAUCAUGCUAACAGAAAACCAAAAAUAAACUUCAUAUUCCAUCAAAUAUUCAUGAUCAGUUCAUUCUUCAUUAGAUUUCUCAGGUUCAGAAACAGAUAAUGAUUUUACCACUUGCAAAGUAAUCAGGUAUUCCCUAUGGUGCUAUAUCUUAUGACUUUGGUCAAACAAUUUACAUGGCCAUUGAUGCAUAACUUUUCUGCCUUGACAAAACUACAGCGCCUUUUUCAACCUUAUGUUGCACUAGCAAUAGCUUUUCAUUGUACUGCAGCAUCCACAGCAGACAUCAUAUAAAUUCAAAUUGAAACAAUGAAGACAGGAUGGGUGGGUGUGUCUGUUGGUGUUGUUUUGGGGGUGACAAUGUCAGGAAAAGAACAAAAUGCAAGAGCUAUACCACCCAAAUUUUGUGCUUUCAGGCCAAAUAUAAUACCUGUGGAGAUUUCUGGGCGGCCUCUUUUAAAUCCUGAACUGCUCCUUCCCAAUCUUCUGAGAGAAGUUUAGCUUCACCUCUCUGCAGCAAGGAUUAUUAAAAAUGACACCAAAUAUCCCAAGAAACAGAUAAGAAUGUCUGUCAUGCUUGCAAAAACUUGUGCAGCCCAAAAUUCAAUUAUGGUGCUAUCAUGUUACCUCCUGAUAUAGCAUUUUAUGAAGAAAAAAAAUACAUUACAAUAUCCAUGUGAUCUAGCUAUGGACUCAGAACAUAUUAACAGUGCCUAUUCAACUAUGGUGCUAUCAUGUUACUUCCUGAUAUAGCAUUUUAUGGAAAAAAGAUACAUUACAAUAUCCAUGUGAUCUAGCUAUGGACUCAAAACAUAUUAACAGUGCCUAUUAAACUGAAGAUCUUAAACAUGCUGAACAAUUGCAGUAUUAUUGUAAGUGCCAAAGCUGCUUCAUAGCAUUGAAUUGGAUCUUAAUGGUUGGUCAUAGAGUAUGAAAAUAUGAUAAAUCUGGGGAGAGAGUACUCUAUCCCUUAUGUGUGCAGUUGACACCACUAAUAUACUGUCCUAAGCCGGUUCGUAGAAACAAGCGCCAGGUCUUAGUUGGACUCCAGCAUAGUUGUGUACGCUACAUAACAUGUCAGUUAACAUUUGUGGCGCCUAAAUAGAAUGAAAAUCCUACUUUUUUAGAAACUAGUGUCAAAGUUGUAAGAUCAGGUCUAGAAACCUUGAGUUUGCAUUCUGAAUUUUACACUGAUGUUCUGCAUGAUUCCAGGCAGGCAAGUUACCUGUGUAAGCGCAUCAACAAGUUCACUGUCUAUGAUCAGUGCUUCCGUACAAGUGCUGAUUGCCUCCUUACUUCUCCCAAGUCUAACCAGAGUUUUACACAGCCCAAGAUAAAGAUGUACAUUAUAAGCAGUAUGGUCUGGAUCCAUUGCUAGAGCUGCCUUGUAGUCCUCAACAGACACACGUAGCUUACCCUUGGCAGCAUUAUCUUCUGCCUGCAUCCACACCGUCUGAUUUAACUACUAGGACACUGUACACUCCAAAUUGAUGAUAAGAAGAAAUGGCACUCACACUCUUGGUCUUCUUCAAAAGAUUUUUUAACCCGAAAUAUGCUUUCUUCAAUUCGGAAUGCUCUGGAUCAAGACGAAGCCCUUUCUGGUAGUGCCUAAACAAAAAGGAUUAUUUGGGUAUAGUCUAAAAUUUUUUUGUGUGUGUAUAAGCACAUGCAUAUGCUUUCCAGAUUACCUGGAGGCCACAUCAUGAUCAGCAAGGUAAUAGUAGGCACGACCACGUAAUAGCAGUGCAUCCAAGUUGUCUUCAUCUUCCUUUAGAAUGAAUCCGGUCUCUGAAAUAACACUUGAGUAGUCUUUCAGUGCUAGCAAUGCUUUAGCCUUGAGAAGCUUUGCCUGCAAAUUCAAUCUUUAGCACCACAGACCAAGGAGAAAGGGUUAGAUGGAAUUUGCCUAUCCGUAUCACACCUUUAAGCAACCUGGAGAAAAAACCAGCACAAUUUUGUUGAUGUAUUCCACGACUUUUGAGAAGUCUCCAGAAUCGAAUUGGCCAUAAGCAGAUUGUAAUGAAUUUUGAGCCUGCAGAAGCUGGGAUAAUUCCUUCACCACUGAAGCAGACCCAGGACUUAGCUCCAGGUGUUUGUUAUAGUCCCUCUCAGCUUCCUCGUAUCUGGACUUUAAGAAAAGCAUACAGUUGCACAUAAGACAUGCAAGGAAUAAGUAAUGGCAGGUGUAAAAUGACAAGGAUUUUGGUAGACAUGUCCUCUUUCCCUUUUUUUAUAAGCAAACAUGUCCGUGCGUAGCAACAGAAACAAACAACUUUCAUCCCAUGUUCCAAUACAUCUUAGAAUCGGACUAUGCACUAUGGCUGAACGGGUGCUAUUCUAAGCCGUACAAGCAUGGUUUGUGAGUUCGGGUUACAGAUGGGAUAGCAAGCCAAUUAGAACUAUUAUUAUCUCUAAUUCAUCAGAUAAUACUCCUCUUAGGAAAACUGGCUACGACUCUUAACUUCGAAUGUUUAUAUAAGCAUGGUUUGUGAGUUCGGGUUACAGAUGGGAUAGCAAGCCAAUUAGAACUAUUAUUAUCUCUAAUUCAUCAGAUAAUACUCCUCUUAGGAAAACUGGCUACGACUCUUAACUUGGAAUGUUUAUAUAAUAUAGGUACAGAUAUGGGACUCAGCUUUCAGACAUAAAGGCAACGAUGCUCCGCUAGGAAUAGAAUCUGAAAAUCAGCUAAUUGCAAGUCUGAAGACAAAAGAAGUUGAGGGCAUUACCCGUUACUACCAUAUCCAUUAGUAGAGAGAGAGAGAGAUAAUGGACUAUAAACCAGCCGGAGAGCAUAAUUUACCUGCAUUUAUGCCGAAGCACGGAUGCACGCUGCCUAUAAGCCUCAGAAUGAUUUGGGUCAAUUUCCAACACAGCAUUUAGCAGGCCAAGCGCCCCAUCAUACUUCCUCAGGUCCAUCAUCCCUGAGGCUUGUGCGAACAAAGUAGCAGGGUCUUUUUCUUGUCCUUCUGAAAUUCCAGAAAAAAGGAAAUGGCAUUUUAAAUUCGAAGUGUGCUGUGCUAGAGAGAGAGAGAGACAGAGGGGCAGUCGGGCAGAGAAUGGGUGGCCUAGCCUGAUGAAGAAAAAUAAAAGAAGAAGAGAAGGCGUGAAUGGUCCAGUUAGGGGGCACUGGGCAGAGUAUAUUUGUGCGGGUGACAGAAGAAGAAGAAGAAAAGAUGCGCUCGCUGACUGACUCCAAGAUCCAACCAACCAAUGGAAUCCGUUGAGUAUAAAGAGGGGAAGGAUUCGAUAGUUGGAGAUCCAGUCGAAUUCUUACGCAAUCGAAUCGACGAGCACCUAGCUGCUAGGGUGAUGGCGCGUAACAGGGAAGGGAUGGCGCCGAACAGGGGAGGGAGGUGCACCUUGGGCGACGACCAGCGAGGAGUAGUGCAGGCGGAGGAGGCCAAGGAUGAGGAGCGGAGGCAGCGCCGUCCGCCGCCCCCAUGCCCGCACCAUGAUCUCUGUCUCCAGCUCUGGCGCAGUGACGGCCGGGGUUUCCGUUCCGUUGUUUGCCUGAGUUGCGCUGACGCCUGACGGACAAACAAGAGGAAGCGUUCGCUCGCUCGCUGAGUAGGGACGGAACACGUAGCUCGGCCAAUACGGAGGUGACGCGUGGAGUCCCCUGCUACGGAUGGGCUGGGCCAGUGGCUGAAAUUUCUACAACUACUAUUUACUACAGCGGUCCAGCCCAAUCCCGUGUCCAUCGCCCAUCGGAAUCCUCCUCCUCGGCUCGGCCGCUCGGCUCUCCUCCUCCUCUGCAACUGCAACGUCGUCGCCGCUUCCGCGCUGCCGUGCGCCAUUAGUACUUGUAACUAAUAGGAGGGAAAGGGAAGGAAAGGAAUGGAACUACUGAUAGUUAUCGCUUCCCUUCCUGUUUGGAUGGAUGCAAAAAAUCAAAUCUAGUUAUCGCUUAAUUCCGAAUUUCAGUUUAGUUCGUCUCAAUCUCAACAAGAUACAACCGGGCGUUAUAACAUCAGUACCGGCACCGGGUAUGCAUUGGCAUCCCUUCAUUAUCAUCAUGUAUGAUUCUCUCUAUAUAUAGCUAGGCGUUAUAACAUCCGGGCGGACGGAACCAGCUGAGAAAACUCUUCAUCGAGCGAAAGAACAUGCACAUAUCUCUACAACUAUUAAGACUCAUCUGUAGACUGCCCCCGCUCUCCCCUCACUCCCGCGGCUCCCCCGCGCACACGCCUAACUACCCCGCCGAGGAUCCCGACGCUCGCCCCCAGUCAGCCACGAUUCCCAGCCGAGCAUCCCGUCGCCCGCCCCGCCCCGCCUCCGCCCGCCCGCCCGCCAGCCGGAAACCCCGCCGCGAUCUCUCUGCAAUCCUCCCGCCCGUCAGCCGGAAACCCAGCCGCGAACCCCGACGCACCUCGUUGUGAUGCCUGCCUGCCUCGCUGUGAUGCUCGGAGAGGUUUUCGGCCGAUCAAUCCGCCGUCAGCAAUGGCGGCCGCGCACACCCCGAUCAAUCCGUCGUCGCAACCGCACCCGCAGCCCACCCCCCCAAACGCCGCCAUGGAUGGCGGCUGCAUCCUCAUCUCGCUCGAUCUGUGCUCGCUCCAUCCGCGCAGGCCAGCCGCAUGCCCCAUCAAGCCCUCGGAGACACCGCCAUCUACCCCUCGCCCACCUACCUCCCGACCUCAAGCAUAGACAUCCAUGCCACCGUCGCCAAGGCCGCUGAGCUGCACGCGGCGCUCCUCCAGGGCGGCAGCGCCGCCGCGUCCAUUGUUGGGGCCUACGCCAGCGCUAGGCGGAGCCUCGCUCUCAUCUGCCUAUAGCCGGCCGCGUCGUGGGUGCCAACGAUCACCAGGUCAGGCCUCCUGGCCAUGGCCAUCGUGGACUACCCCGUGUUUGCCCUGGUAAGCAGACCGACAAGCCUCUGAAACUUCUUGCACCCACAUUUGUUUCUCUGUCUGCUUGUUUCUCGGUACUAGAAGCAAUUAUUUGUAUCAUUAUAUGUCAAAACCCAAAAGGUGCGUCAUUUGCCGCUGGAUCCGCAUGCUCUCCCCUAUUGUGCCGGUGUUUUUGCAUAUUUAGAUAAUUGCGACAAUGUUCUUUUGAGAGCGAGGUUAACUUGGAUUUCGAGGCGUAAGUUCCAGUUCAGUAGGUGGAGUCAUGCUACAAGCCCAUAAAAGCACAAACGGGCACUCGAUUGCAUUUCAUUUUACUGAAGGAAUGUUGUUGGUCGAUCAACCUCUGUUGUCUAGGUGUUUCCUGCAACUCCCAACUAGAUAGAGAAAAAAAAUCAAGGAAUUGUGAAGAUAAUGGUCAGUCAGCUGUGAAAGAUGUGGUGCAAGGCCUGGUGGAUGAUGAUCUUAUCUUGAAGGACAAAAUCAUCAUGCCCCCGUGACGCAACAUGGUAGGGAGGCCAAGUGUGAGAAUGAUGUUUUUUCUAUCCAUGUGAGUGACGUUGCUGAAAAGUUGAAGAUCAAGCUUCAUGGUGAAAAAGACGUCAUGGCUGCAUUGUGCGGCAUUAUGAAGAGCUCAAGAUACUGGCAGUGGAUUGCCAACUCGAGCUAACAAGACACUCAUCUACACAGCCACCUAUACAGGCUAAUUGUGAGUCGUGUGAUCAACUGAUCAUAACAUGGAGGACAGGUUCCAUUUCCAUGCAUGUGGUUCUUGCCAAUGCAGCUGCUCUCAGAUUUGAAAUGCACAAGUACGUACUUACCUUGCCUGCAGAGGAUGGUAUCAGUGGACAGGAAACUAACUACAUUGUUUCUUCUCCAUUUUACAAGGAAGGAACAAGCAUCAGGCGACGACCGUCUCGACUGCGGGAGAGGGGAGUGCCCCUCGAGUAUCCGCAGGUCUGUUUGGUAACUGUGCUGUUUCCUGCUUUCUGUUAUUCAUCAGAGAUCAUAUGGUUAAAUGGCAUGCGUAUACAGAAUCGAAGAUAUCAUGAGAAAUUAUUUUGUUUUAUUUAUGUUCUCCAUUUGUAUGCUUUUUUUGUUUCGUCGCUGUAAAAGUGUGUCCAAUUUUAGUACCCUGUCUCUGAUAUAUAUGAACUAUUUCAUCCAUUCAUCAAUUCAGGGAUCCAACACUUGGACACCGACAUUCGCAUAACUAGGAACAUCGACCGGGGGGAAAAGUAAGGAAAGCUGUGCUGGUGUAGGAAGCAACAAAAAAUCAGAUCCGUUCUAGCUCUGUUCAUUUUUAUUCUUUUUUUCUCUUGGGAACUUCAUGUACAUAUAUAUAUAAUAGUUCAUCAGGAGCCACAGGCCAAGCGGCGAGACGAGGCGGUUUGGAACCGCCAUGGCAGCGGCAGCCGCCGACUUCCGAUCCCGCCGCAGCUGCGGCCGCCAUGUCCACCUGUACCCACUCCACCUGUGCCCACUGGUUCGUUCUUGGCUCCGAAUUUCUUUCCCAUCCAUCUCCCUUGCGCUUCCUGGUCCCUUGCUGUACAUGGGUCACCGUGUAUGUGAUGCGCUUGAACUGGUAGGCUUCUAAGUGAGACUUGUCUGCAUUCUGCUCUUCGAAAGCCAUCAUAUCCUCUGUAGCAGUCCCUGGUUGAAGGUUGGUUUCAUAUUUACUUCCUUGAUUAGCACCAUUGCAGCUUAUAGAAAGUAAAACACUGGCUGAUGGCAAAGUCAGAUCCCCAUGAAUAUGGUCCUUUUCCACUGACCCAAUAUUUGUAGAGACAAAUGGGAUGAUUCCACCAGGCUCAUGAAAUGAACUCACGAUAUACCUCCUCAUCUAGGAUGAGUUGAUCCUUAAACCAAACACCCCUAAUACUAUCUAUGCCUAGAUCUGCCAUGAUUUUUUAUUCAAGCUACGAAACAAAUUACAAACCAUAAUAUUGUUUUCCUGAUAGUUUAUCCUUUUACAUCACUAAACUUGAUAUUUCAUUACAGAAUGGAGUUCAUUCCCUCUGUCCAGCUGUAUGGUCAAAAUAUAGGAGAUGGUCAAUGGUACUUGUUUUUCUUGCUAAAACUCUCAAUGCGAAUGUGAAUGAUGUCAAAUUGAGACAUGACCUAAAUCGAACAUAUCCUAUCUGUAUUAGCUCGUGAAUGAUAGCCUUUUGGCGUGGGUAUGCCACAACUCUACAUUGCAGCUAGAGAUGGCAGAGGAAUGCCUUCUUCAAGCAAAGGACUUAAGUGGCUUGUUGCUACUGUACUCAUCUCUUGGAGAUGCUGAAGGAAUUGAAAAGCUUGCUUCUUUGGCAAAAGAACACGGAAAAAACAAUGUUGCUUUCCUCUGCCUUUUUAUGCUUGGUAAAGUUGAAGAUUGCAUACAAUUGCUUGUAGACAGGUAAAUCUUGUUUGCUGUGAUUAAAUCCUUGUUUUGGUGCUCUUCCUUUGAGAACUAAACAUUAUCUUGUGUAUUCUGCAGUAACCGUAUACCUGAAGCUGCAUUACUGGCACGUUCAUAUCUUCCUAGCAAAGUACUAGAGAUAGUGGCAAUUUGGAGAGACGACCUGAGUAAAGUAAUUUCUUAAUGUUCUCAUCUUAAGUCUUCUUUCUGAAAAGUGUCGUGUCAUUAGAAAAAACUGCAUGCUAUUAUCUUAUUCUUUUUGUCUGUAUGCAGAUUAAUCCAAAAGCUACAGAGUCUCUAGCAGAUCCUUCUGAAUAUCCAAAUCUAUUUGAAGACUGGCAGGUUGCUCUAACUGUAGAAAAAAGUGUUGCGUCUCAGAGGUACACAGUAUCACACAAACUACUACAUUUUGUUCUAGAAUAUUGCUUACCAGAAGUUAAAAAAAUACAUUGAAUCUCAGAAACUUCUUAUUAAAUCCAAGGAGUAAUGUACUAAUAUUUCAUUGCAUCUGCUCUGAGAACUGAGUCCUGACCACCUCACAGUUUUUGACCAAGUAAAAAUUUUGCAAUAACAUGUCUAUGUGCAGGGGCAAUUAUCUUCCUGCUGACCAGUAUGAUGCUAGGGUCCCCCUGGACACUGUGUUCACAGCUUCAGUUAUGAAGAUGUAUCUCAAGGUUUUCAACUUCUUGUGGAUGCAAAGUGAGCUUUGUUCUAGAAACUCAAUUUUUUAUACAACAUCUUCUAUACCUUUUAAAACUGGAUGCCUUUUCCUACUUUGUUCAGUAUGAAUCACUAGAAGUGCUGGCAAAUGAAUGCCGGCGCCCCUUGUGUCCAGCUCCCCUGUUCGAUGGGCUUCAUGCCCAGUUUCUUCUGCUGCUUCCGUUCUACUUGUCGAGGCAUCACCUCCAAGAUGAAGCUGCCACCGUUCCAUGUCGAGGCGCACACCUUGAGUAUCAGGAACACCACGUGCAUCCGGUAGGACAGGAAUAUAGGGACCGUCAGGGCCAUUGUUGCCACUGUGAACAGCGCCUGGAGCAGUAUGUACAUGACCUGCCGGUUCCGGUCACCCAGCAGUCCGCUCAGCCUCCACCAGAUGUUGUUUGCUUUCUGUGCUUUCUUUGAGAGCUCUCUGACAAACCGUUCAUAAGAUAAACAUUGAGUUUUAUGUUUUUUCAUCGGAACAUUUGGUUCUAUGUUGGGAUCAAGGAUAUUCGGGAUUCGGGAAUACCAACAGUUACUCGAACCAGUAGGAAACAAGGACUCAUGAACCCAGGAAAUGCAAGUGGGCAAAAUGCAAAACAGAAGGCACACAGCGCAUGACAAGAGUUUUUGUAUACAAAUUCAGAAUCUAACUCAACCAUCCAAAGUACAUUAAUGUAAAUGAGACAAUCAUUACUGCAAGGAACUAUUUUUUUUCCUUGUUGGUUGGGAGCCAGCAAGCAACUUGGAGAAGGCCUCAACACUACCCUUGAUGCUUGAGAGCAGCGUAAGCAUUGUUACGACUUUGUAUCCAGUAAUACCAGUCUCCAUAUAUGUGAUUACAUCAAGGCCAGGGAUCUCAGGAACUCAGUCACCGAGUUCAUCUAUGUCUCCCUCCCUGGUUUAAUGCCUUUUCCGUGUUUAUUCUAAUUACCUAGCGUACGUAAAUUUGUGGUGUGCGUACAUGUGCAUAGUGUUUGGGUGGUUCCCUUUGUAUCCUUUCCCUUCUUUAAAUGAUGAUACACGACUCUCUCGCGUGUUCUGGAAACUCAAUUUUUUAUACAACAUCUUCUAUACCUUUUAAAACUGGAUGCCUUUUCCUACUUUGUUCAGUAUGAAUCACCAGAAGUGCUGGCAAAUGAAUGACCCGGUCCUGAUAAUACUGUUAGCCCCUUUUUUCAGCAUCCAAAUUUUUUUACCCUUCUUAAUUUAGUAAUAGCAUCUCCCUAUCUGUUGACAGACUGCUUCCUUGUAUAGGUGAUGUUUCAUCUUUCAUCCAUCCCAUGUACAUAUGUUCAAGAUGGCGCCAUUGGUUCCUCGGCAGAAUGGGAUGCAAAGGUUCGAAGCAUUAGUGAUAACCCCUAUGCUAUUAUGUUACUGUCCAAUGUCCUUUGGAAAAUACCAGAUCGCGCCAUUUCCCAUGACACAUCACCUUUGACUAUAUAUGCUACCAGUUCAAUAAGGUAUAUUAUUACUUUUAAAUGUUUUACAUAUGAUUUUAACUUGUUCAUUCAUUCAAGUAAUAUCUUUUCCAGCAAUAUUUGAAGUAUGUACUUGGCUAUUAUGGAAGGGUAAUUAAUAUCUUCUAUCUUCUCUAUGAAUGUUUGAAGCAAUAUCAAUCUGGAACACAAUAUGCUAAUGGAUUUGCAGUGGAGGAUAUUGAACGAUAAUCUCUAAUCCUAUGUGGUAAAGCAUUUUGCUGAUUCAGCUAUUGUGAAAGAUGCACAUACUGGCUUACUGCUAUGACAGACCCGAUAUUGUUUGAAAGAGGAGGCCUCCCGACUCCAGGAUGGUAAAGUCAGCUUAUUACUCUUCGUUUCCUCUGGUUCUGUAAAGAUCUUAAAUUCCUUCCAUAUUGUGUAUUUCAGGAUUCUGGGCUUUGGUGGCUCCACUGUGUCAUUGUUUGCCCAGGUGGAAAUCAUGAUGUCCUGCUUAGAAAUCCACAGUGCUCUACUGUCCAUUGACUAUGGUGCAGUAAUCUCUUCCAAUAGGUCCACUCUGUGCAGAGUGCAGUGAACAAUGAAACAUUGGAGGACACGAUACAGAAAGGCGUCAACCGUCGACAUUGAGAAACUGAAUCCUGCCUUUCUUUUCAUGCGGGAGCUGCCAGAGCUUCACAUGGUUUCACUGUGAAGACAGGUGCGGAGGUCCCUCUUCACCAUGGAUUUAUAUAGAGAGUAGAGGGCAUCAUAAUACUUCACAUCUCAAUGUAUUUUACCAUUAUAUCUUGACUCCGUAGCAACGCACGGGCAUACACCUAGUUAUCACUUAAACAUACUACUAGCCUAUAGCAUCACUAAUUAAUACAGCUGCUCUCUAUGGCCAUUCCACCACCUUGACCUGCAUGCACCAAAACCACAACUCAGAAAAAUGUUGAUACAUGCACAUCGAUCCCUUAAACACAUACUCCUCCUCAUUAUUACCAGAAGUAAUCCCAUCGUGGAUUGGUCUUGGACGACAUGCCACCGUAUGUGUAGUCGGCACGGCGAGCAUUGCGGAAAGCACAGCAGCCACAGGAGUAGAUGGCUAUGAGUAGAACAAGGACGAUGACAUUGAGGAUGGUGAUGGUGUGCCAGUCUCGGCGCACCUGCUCCAGCACUCCGGCUUUGCACGAGUCGCACUGGUAGCACAGGACGCUGGGGGCAUUGUUCCACCGGUAGCAGUCCUCCUCGUCUUGCGCCGGCGCAGCGAUGGGUAUGCCUUGCUCGUUGUAUGUGCAUGAUGUCGGUGGCUUGCAGCAUCCAGACUGCGCGCGUUUUUUGCAUUGCAGUUUAAUUAAUAGCAAGCAAGCUAGAAAUAACAAGAAGAAGAAGAAGACCCUCGCGUACUCGUAGUUACGUACCUGUAUCGGCGUGAGAUUAUGCUGGAGGUAGUCCAGGGGAGUCCAGGCGGCUAUCCUGGGGCAGGCUCUUGACCCGACCACGCAUGCGAGCGCUGCCCGCCAGUAGCGAUCGACCUCGACAUGCCUCUGGAGCCAAGCCGAGUAAUCUGUGAUCCGGAACUCCCGGUAGGGCCUGCCGGGCACUUGCCUGCCGCCGCCGCCGCCGGCCGUGACUGCCAGGCCAAAGACUGUGAUCCCGAGCAGGGCGAGGACGAGCAGCAGCAUGGCCAGGAGGUAGAGCCACAGCGCCCAUGUCACAUGGUAGCAUGCGCCGAUGAAGCCCGCCAGGGAGAUGAGGAGGACGAUGAACCCGAUGGCUAGGAGCGGCGUCUGCAGUGCGGAUUCGCAUGUCACCGCCGCAGAGCCAUGGGCCAGCCACAGCCCUGCACCGAUGAUGGGGAUGGAUGCCACCAGCGUCACCAGGUUCAGGUAGCCUAUCAUCGUGUUGCUCAAACGCCGGUGUGGUAGUGGGUAUAGGUGCUGCGAAUGCAUCUUGCUAAUGCUAGCUAGCUGAGCGAUCGAUCUCGGAUGACUGGUUCUGUUGCUACCUGCUUAUAUGUCUAUCUAUCAAGUAUUAUCAUCAUAUGCUUGCUAUAGUAGCUAGCUUUCUUUUCCUGCUGGCUUUGAGCUUUAUUUCCUUUGAUUGAUUCGCUUUAAUUGGUGCUUUUCUUUGUUCAUACCAUAUCAUACCAUACCAUACCUCUGCUGCUUGUGUGAGCUGUAAAUCCAUGUACGGCAGCCUUUUUCUAAUCAUCCAACACUCACUUGGAUUCGAUUAUGUAAUAGCACGGCAUGUUUCAUGAACUGGAAUUAUGUUUUCUGCAUUUAAACUUGCAUAUCCCUUUAUUAACUUUUGCCCUUUUUCCUCUUUAUGGAAAUUAUGCUUCCUUGUGUUUUUGCAUGCCCUUUUGAUGAAUGACGGAUUGAACUGUUCAACAGGCAUUGCUCCAAAUAAGAGAGCAAUUAAAGAGGAAGGAAUGCUACGGGAUUGAUUCUUAAUCACGAAGGCAGCCGGGUUGAGGGGAUCUGCGUAUGUACUAUGUGGCUUCUUUUCCAAAGCAAAAGGUGUCACUGCAUCCAGCAGCGACCCCAGCGCCAAUCCACGCCGACGGCAGUCACAGCGGCAACGUGGUGGCCAUCCAGAUCUGAGCAGUGGUCGUGCAUAACCAAUGAGCAGCGAUGAGCCGAUGACGACAAUCACCGUGCUUUGCCAUUGACGGGCUCACCGUUUUUUUUAAAAUUUAUUAGCUUUUGACUAAUUGACAGAGUCGUCAUUGGAGCCAAGACGGCUUGGCUUGUCUGCCUAUCUCCGUCCCUGAAUAGUUUCUGCACAUUUUUUUAGAAUAAAAAAGAUAACAAUUUGGUGUCAAAAUCACUAUUAAGCAAAUACUAUAUUUCAUGAUCCAAUGAUACUCAUUUAGAGCAUGUUUAAAUACACUAUAAUUAAUAGUUAGUUGAUAAAAUUAGUUGAAUAUCUAAACAGUCUAGCUAAGAGCAUAUCUAAGAAACUCUUUAGUUUUUUCUAUUUGAAUUUCUAUCUAACCUCUUCAUAAAUAUUACACUCUAUAGGUACUAUUUCAUUUCAACAGACUCUCUAACAGCUAAGCUAGCCGUAGUGGAUUAGUGGCUAGCUAAAUUUGGCUAGAGAUGGAGCUAAUUUGAAAAGUCGGAUGGUUUGGCGAGUUGAAUGGCUAGUCUGUUGGAGAGUUAUUUUACUGUUAAAUAUCCAAAAUUUGGCUAGUCUCUUGAAGGUAAUAGUUUAAGUAUUAGCUACUUACAUUUUAGUCAACUAACUAUUAGCUCUAGUGCAUUCAAAUAUUUUUUAAGUAAAAAAAUGGUAGUAGCUCUUUUAUAUAAACUUAGUCAGAUCUAAAAUAAUUUUCACUUAAGAUGACAACUUAGUUUGACUUAGACAACUCUCAAAGUUGAUUUCGUUUGGAACGGAAGGAGUAGUAGGAUGAUGGCCUCAAAAUCAUUAUAGGAUUAUGGAUGGUGGAGUUACUCUCCAAUGUCCAUUAUAUUGGUUUUGUUUGGUGCAACUAUUUUCGAGAAGCUUUUUUGAUAAUCUAGAUUCUGCUACCACGAAAAUCUGGAUAUCACGAGCCUUGUAUGUGAGGGAAGAUAAAGAGGUCCACGGUUUAAUAGAAAGCGGAGGCGAUAGAUUUCUCCUGUUGCGACGACUCAGCGAAUUCUGUAUUGAACGGUUUUCAAAAAAAUAGCGUUUAAUAGAAGCUGAUUCUGGCAUCUGGCGGAUCAAAAACUUAAACAAAAAUCCUGACGGUGUCCUGUGUGCAUGAGUUUGUGUACUGAUGAACUUUAUCAACCAGGCCCUCGUCUAAAAACUUAAUUCCGAAUCCAUCCCAGCACACGCACGUUUCUCUUCUGCCCGGCGCGUGACGCGUCUCCAAAAAAAAAAUUCCCCAGCUCCUUCGCCACCGGCGAACCCUGGCUUCCCGUCCUCCCACGGUUCCUCCGCAUCGUGGUAAGAUUUGCCCCGCCUUCCUUUUCUUCCUCUCCACCAGCGCGAACUCCCCACCUAACCCUUUUUCUUCCUUGGUCUUCACCUAGCUACAUGGCGGAUUCGCGAGGAAUAGCUUCCAAGAGCGCUGACAAGGAUAGCACCUCCACUCGCCCGGCGCGCCUCCGCGUCAUGCGCCAGGAAGUCAAGGAUUUUUUGACGAGUCCUCGCCGUAGCCGCCCCAAGAAGCAGCCGCCUCCGCCUCAUCCCCCGCCGCCACUGGAGGAGAAGGUGAAGGAGAGGAAGAAGGGAAAGGAGAAGGCAGCGACGGAGGAAGAGAAAUUCGAGCGCGCGCAAUACAGCUGUGCCUUCCAGGACGAGGGCGAUGGGGGCCGCGACUUCGCGCCGCCGGAGCUGGUCUGGGGUAAGGUGCGGAGCCACCCCUGGUGGCCCGGACAGGUAUUCGACGCCGCCGAUGCGUCAGAGAUCGCACUGCAGCACCGGAAAGCCGGCGCCCCGCUCAUCGCCUACUUCUGGGACAGGACCUUCGCGUGGAGCGACUCUUCUGCGCUGCUCCCCUUCUGCGCCAACUUUACGCGACUAUCCACCCAGAGUACUAUGUCUAGCUUCGUCUCCGCCAUCGACUCCGCGCUGUUGGAGGUUGAGCGACGCGUAGAGGCUGGCCUCUCGUGCGGUUGCUUCAGUUCCAACAUUGCCACGAAGCAGGAGGUUCAAAACUCCGGUAUCCGGCAAGGGGCGUAUGGUGCGGCGAUAGACUCUGUCUACACGAGGGAUGCCUUCCAUGGCAAAACAUUUCUUGACUACAUCUCAGCACUAGGAAAGAAGCCACUAGCCGGUGCUGAUCUUCUUGACCUAGCCACCGCCAAAGCACAGUUGAGGGCAUUCAAUCGUUCAAGGGGUUCAAGGGACCUUCCUGAGUUUGUGAUGUUUGAGGGCAUUGCGGAGAUUACAGAGAUGACACACACAAAGGGAGAAAGGAUGCACAAGAGUGAGGAUGAUGUUCUGAGCAAGGAGAAGAAAUCGAGGCGCGCUGGGAGUUCACGUAGAAAAGGAGAGGCUUUACCAGAGGCUGCAAAUGAUGAUGCUAUAGAUGAAGACAGCAAUGGAGGGGCAGGAAAUGAUACGUUGAGUCAGGGGGAAAAGUCAAAGCGUGUGAAGAGUUCAUCGAAGAAGAAAACAGACAUUUACAAACAUUUAUAUGGACUCAAAACUGAUUCUGUUGCUGACAGCAGAACACUGGACAAGAAGGGAGUAGAUGAUGUUUUGAGCGAGAGAAAAUCUGGGCGCACACUGCGAUCCACGAGCAAGAAGGAAGAUGCAUUAGAGGGUUUGAAAAGGCUGGCAAAGCAUGGAAUUGAGGAAUUAGCAGGAAAAAGCAAAGAUGCCCCCGUUCUUAAAGAAAACAAUCAGAGGCAUGGUGCAGGCUCUGCACACAAGGGUAGAAUCACAGAGGAUGGGUAUCAUAGACUUGGAGAUUGCAAUGCUGAGGAUCUAACUUCUCCAAGCAAGAGAAGAUUGGGGCAUAAUGAAAACUCAAUAAUCAAGCCAGUGACCAUCUCCGAGCAUGGUAGGAAGAAGAAGAAACUUUCUGAACUCAUGGCAGCUAUAGGCAGGCCUAAUUCUGUAUCGGGUGGUAAGAGCAAAGCUCGAGGGAAGCGUUCGUUGCAUGGUUUAGCUGAGAAACCUGAGGAUGCUGAUCGCCACUCUAAGGAUACAUUGAUGACUAGGAAAAGAAAGAAGCUCAACACAUUAGGGGAUUUAUCUUCACAGUCAGAGCCUCUCUCUCCUAAGAAGUCCACAAAGGUUGGAGAACUGAUGAGCAAAGCAGCUGGGAGCAACAUGUUACAGGCAGCACCUGCUGUCAAAGCUAUUAGUGCAGUGUCUCAGACGAAACCACGUAGGGCUAAGCACAGGCAAGUAAAUGCUGCAGACAAAUCUCCACGUCAUAUGAAGGUAAAUCGGGGGAACAGCAAAGCCGCUAGUAAGGAGUCUCUAUCUUGUGGAGAAAUGCUACGGCAGAUCUCAUUAGCAGCAUGUGGUCUUAAGCAGAGAGAGGAAAUUGCUCCUUCAAGUGUUAAUUUCUUUACCGAUUUUAGGAAGAACUCCAUUUUUUCUAGUUCUGAUGUCGAUGAGAGGAUGCCUGAGAAGGCAACCAACGCCGAGUCCACUCCUUCAGAACAGCCCAUUGUUGAUCAUAUGCAGGAUGACUAUUGGUCCGACAUUCUCAUUAAUGUGGAGGAGCCGUUAUCUAGCCUCAAAAAGAAGAUAUAUAAGAGUAAGAAAAGAGCAAACAAGAAGGCACCUCAGGUUAAGAAACCUCCUGUUAAUUCAUUGGCGACUGCAGAAAAUGCGGAUGAGCCAAGGAGUGAAGGCAACCAAGAUACAGAAAAUGGGGAACAACUUAGGAACAAAACGAAGCUGUUUUCUGCAAAUGGAUCUCAACAGAAUGGGACAAAAUCUGGUGAAGAGAUGGAAAAUAGCUUUCUGUCUGGACUGGUGCUGCACUUCAGCAGGCCAAGUGAUGUUCCAUCAUGCAGUGACCUUAUCAAGAUCUUUAGCCAAUACGGUCCUGUUAAUGAAGCCAAGGCAGAGGUUGCAAACAGUACCAGCUCUGCUCAGGUGAUCUUCAAGAGGCGCAUGGAUGCUGAGGCAGCGUUUGCAGGUGCUGGGAAGAUCAGUGCCCUUGGACCAGCCCUUACGAGCUUUCGUCUCACCGACUUCCCAGCAAGUGCUUCAGGAAAUAAAGCUUCACAUGGUGCAUGAAAGAGCGAAUAGAGUGUUGCAUGGCAGUGAGGUACAAACGAGUUUCCCCUCUCUUUCCCGGUUGGGUUUGAGUUUGAUAGGUGAUGUAUAUUAUCUUAUGCACAUUAUGGUGUCCUCUUGUUUUUUGUAGGGAAACCAGAUGAGGGAGUUAGAGAAAAAGGUAUACUCUACUGUAUGUGGUAGCUAGGUUGUUGCAGGAUUAAUUCAUAGGAACAGCGAUGACACUUGUGUCGUCCAGUGUUGUGGAGGUGUCAUAUACUGCAGAUCACUUGACAUGAGUUGCCAAGAACCAAUAGGUGUUGUAAAAGCAUGUUUGUUUUAAACUGAGUUUUGGUACUUAAAAAGUGUGCUUUGUUUCUUAAUAAUCCAAGUACUGGAUAUUGUUGCGGGUGCAGUUGGAUGUUUCUUAACAAUAGCAUGUAGAAGUAUUAUGUUUGUGCAUGCCGAGCGAUCACCUGGCGUCUGGCAGUCUUUAUACUGACUGUUCGUGUAAUCGUGUAUUGGGCUAUAGGCUGCCGCUGGAGUGGUUCUGAUUUCAUGCUAUUUAUCCAAGCGUGAAUAUGCAUGCAUAUAU